CAUUCCAUAUACACAAAUAAUUCCGUUGGCGCAAAUAGAACUAAGAAAUGACAAAUGAAAAGACAAGAAAUGUAGGUGCUAAAAAAAGAAAGUUCGCAUGCAGGAUGAAGCAAAACACUGGACGAUCCUUUGACAUGCAUGCACGUAGACGUACAUGCACGCACUUAAUUGGUACUAGUUGAUUGCGCGGCAGUUCUUCCUGAUCUGUCCCUGGUCACCGGUCUUGACCUCGAUGCCGGCCAUCUUCACCAUGGCCUUCUCGAACCUGUCCUCCCACCAUCCGGGGAUGUUGGCGUUGUCCACCACCAUCCUCGCCGUCUCCUCGGAGGUCAGGAGCGCCGCGUCGGAGGUGAAGAGCACCGUGUGCGACAGCACGUUCUUGUAGUACUGCCUGUCCAGGUCAUUCGGGGUCACCACGUCCUGCAUCACUGUGGGGUCAUUGCCGCCCGGGGCCGCAUCAGCGGGGCAUUGGUCACGCAGGAACGCGGCGAGGCCGCCGUUGAUGUCGGAGGGGGCGUUGAGGCGGUCAGGCACAAAGGAGGAGCAGUGGGAGCGACCGAUGGUGUGCGCUCCGGACAGGAUGACCAGGUCCUCCGCGUCCAGGCCCUUGACGACGAAGCUAUCGACGAGGUCGCUGAGGUUGGACGUGGGCGGGGCGAGAAACUUGAGGGGCUCGGAGGCGUUGGAGAAGGUGCCGUCACGGCGGCCCGAUGGCACCUCGAAGUGUACCUUGCCGGCGUUGAGGAUGCAGGACGCAUCGCGGGCCGCGAAGGCGAUGAUGUCCGCGCAGGACACGGUGCCCGGACAGGCCACCUCAAGGGCUUCUUUAAUGGCGUCGAUCAGCUCAAAGCCGCGCAGCGACGGGUUGUUUGGCGGGCUGAGCUUCUCCGGCGUCGGGCUGAACGGGGUAGGAUCCAGGAGAACCGAAGCGUCACAGCCCUAAUAAGGUGAUCACCGACGACAGACUCGACAAAAUCAAUCAUCUAUAUAUCAAAGUACGUAUAACAUACAUGUUUGCAUUGCAAUUUAUUUCUUGCAAUGUACCUCGACGAAACAGUCGUGGAAGAGCAUUCGGAUCAUGGCGGCGCCAUUGCCGGGGUUCUGGGAGAUGGCCUCCAUCAUGACGCCCUUGACGACGGCCUCCGCCUGGGGGCACCUGUCGUGGUAGAACCCGAUCUGCAGAGGGCUGGCCCGGCACCCCACAGCGAGCAGCAGCAGCAAGGCACACGCCACCAGAACCUGCAGCUUCUUAACAGCAGCAGCCGCCAUUGUUUCAAGAUAGCUCGAGUUCUUGACUAAGAUUGAAAGAUGGGAAGUGGGAGGUGAUGGAUCGAUGGGUUGGGGAAUGCCUGUUAGCUGCUGUAUAUAGUUUCAGCAUGAUGCUGCUUAUAUAGGUGAACAUUCGAACUUUAGAAACGUAUAUUGUCAACUAGAACUGGCCAUGCAUGUGUUUCGUUGGAACGUUACUACGUACACCGGCCGGUAGUUGCCAUCAGCACUCGUCGACGUUCAGUUGGCUGACUGUGCUCCUCACAACCAGUGGGCGCCGGCGAUGAUAUGAUGAUACACGAUGAGUAUAUAGUAAGGAGUAACAAACAUUAGUUCACUUACCCUGAUUUUGUAGAAAAUGAGCUUACUAACCCUGAUGUAUAUAUGUCUGAACAGGUCAUGUGUAAGCUGGACCUGGACUGAGGCUAGCCAUUUUCUAGUAAUAGUAGCUAGAUCAAGCAGCCGCUGAUUGACGGGGAUGCGUGUUUUUCCGGCCGUUGAGAAGUCAUCAAUCAAGUUAAUUAAGAACAUUUCUUUUGUGUCGGUGUGUACGUGUGCUUCGUGUUUCAAAUCCGUAGUGCGAGAAAUUUCCUGGGAGCUAGUAGCUAGGCCACCUUGUUUAACAGGUAGAGCAAGCGUGCAUCAUUAAGUACUAAUUCCUUGGUAGGAACAGCCUAACAGGUAGAAGAUGUGAUGGGUGUAAUCACACGGAAAUUAAUUUAUGUUAUGUUGUGUGGAUUGAAAACAUGACAUUUAAUCUCAGUGAUCAAUGCCAAAUUUUGCAGUUAACCCUUGAUUCAGUGUAAAAUUUUGCAAGAAUACAUAUGAAGUCAACAUAUUCAGUGCAUGCAGAAUACUCGAAUUAACAGUGUGGCCAAAUGUAGUGUAUAGCGUGAAGAGAAAAGAAAGUGAAUAUAUGUCUCAGAUUCAUAUAUAUAUGAAAAAAUAUACAUAUAUAUAGGACGGCCGUUUGAGGCACCUAGAUAUGUAUAUAUAUUAACAUUUAUUGUAUCCUUAUAUAGCAUUUAUUGAUUCCUACAAUAAAUUACUAGGUAUGUACCUCGCCGUGUAUGUACGUAACUUUAUUAGUACGCAUAUGUAUACAUGCACAUGUAUAUAAUUUCGUUAGUAGGUAUUUACAUAUCCGCUUAUGUAUAUUAUUUUUCACUAGCUACAAAUUAUAAUAAAUCAUUGGGUAUAUAUAUACCCGCAUAUGUAUAUUAUUUUAUUAGUAGGUAUAUCAUAUCCACGUAUGUACAUAAUUUCGUUACUAGGUAUACAUAUAUAUCCGCAUACAUAUGUAAUGUUUUGACUAGCUGCAAACCAAAAUAAAUCACUAAAAAUAUAUACCCAUGUAUGUACAUUAUUUCAUAGUUAGGUAUUAUAUACCAAUGGUAUGUCUCUACGAUUUGGAGUCAAUGCCCAAUUUGUUGGUUUUAAACAAUAAUUUUUUUUUCAUGAAUACCUAAUGAAAUAAUCAAGGGAAAAUCUAAUGAGCUUCGUACGCACACAUGCUCUCCCGUGCAGCGGCCGCGCGCAUGUGUUAUACUAGCUAUUUGUAUUUUAAAAAUGAUUUAUCUUUCAAACCGUUAUACCAAUUAAUGAUCCAUUUUCAUCACUGACUUUAUCGCGACGAGAUCUUUAAAACUAGAUCCCAUGUUAACAUGUUUCGAUAAUUUUUGUUUUCGUCGGUACUUGCCAGAUUAUUAUGACUUACUUGUCAUAUUAUUUGUUAUAUAGUUCUGACAUUAAAUUAACUUGGUUAUCACAUUCAUGAAUGAGUAAAAAACUUGAUUCAUUAUACUUGUGCUGAUUCAAGCAUUAGCUUUUUCGUUAAUAGUGCUUUAAUACCCACGUUUUAGCUUCACAGAACAUUGUAAUACUUAAAAAGUAUAAAAUUAUUGUCAUGAUAACUAUGUAUAAUUUUUGUGACAACUGUACAUCCGUAAGAUGACAACUAUGAUGACAUAAAUGUGGCAACUAGGAACGACGAAAAAAAAUCAACGAAACAUGUCAAUAUGGGAUCUUAUUUUAAAGGUUUUGUCGAGACGAACCUAACCGUGAAGGGGAAUCUCCAAUCAAAUCAUUAAUUUAUGAGAUAAAACAUUUUUAAGAUUGACAAUAAAUAUGCAUAAGAUGUUGACUAGGACUCCAAAACGUUUUGCAUGCAUGCGCUGUUAAAAUGCUUCUUUUCCUCAUUGAGAUGCAUGCAAGAGUACAAGUUUUUGCUAACCUAAGAGCCGUAUUUAUAUAAUUUUUUAAUCCAGAAACAUGUCCUUAAAUGCGAUUUGCGCCUUGAUCAGCCAGCCGCCGCACGGGAAGGCAGCCGUGCGGCGCCGCUCCGUAGCGAGCUCCAAUAAUCAAUGUCUAUCUAUACAUGUAUCCAUCUAUACAUAGAAGGUUCACUAACUGGCGAGUCACAUUGUGCGUACAUGCAUGUAUACCUUGAUCUAGAAAAAAAAUGCAUGUAAAUAUGUAUACCUAUUUCCUUUUAUUUUAUUAUUCUCUCUCCACGAAUUAAUGUGCGUUUUAAUUCCUUCCAAAUCAAUAAAUCUUAAUAAAUUGACAUGCAAACUAUUAAAUGCUAGGUGCCUGGGCACCGAGGUGCCCCAAACAAUUUACCUAUGCAUAAGAGCAUCUCUAACAGCCACGCGAUAUAAGCGCCGCGCUGAAAAAGUUAUGUUUUGCGCGCGCAGCCGCUUCGGCCGCUCCAGCGGAGGCAAAAAAACGCACACACGGCAUAAAUGGCUCAGCGCGCUGCUUAUUUCAUGUCUCCGUUCCCGCGCGCUGCACACUCGAGCGCUCGCGUCGCAUCCUCUCCGACCGUGACGCCUUCGUCCCGUCCGCGCCACCGCCGGCGAAUUCGCCCAAUGUACGGCCGCGCCAACAUCCCCUUCACCCCUUCCUACGCUCGCGCCCCGCCGCUGCCGGCGCAAACCCUAGCACGGGGAGCUCUGGCUUCGCCUCCGCCGAUGCUCCUCCAACCACCGGUCUCGCGCGCGACCUUUUCAUAGCGCCACGGACGACCUCGGCGGUGGGUAGCGUCGCGCCGACGGCCGCCAUGAAGCUACGUGCCCCCCUCUCGAAGCUCCCAAAUGCGGCGGUGGCGAAGAAGGGCAAGGUCACUAGUAGAAAACAGGGCAUUGAGCCAACCACAUUGGACCCGGAUUGGAUAUAAACCGGUUCUAAAGGGUCUGUCUGCUGGGCCCCCUCCUUGCAGCAAAUGGCCGCAAGGCCUUUAGGACCGGUUUGUAACACAAACCGGUCCUAAAGGUUUUUGGACCGUUUGCUGCAGGAGGGGGGCCCAGUGGACAGACCCUUUAGAACCGGUUUGUAUCACAAACCGGUGCUAAAGGUUUUCUCAUUUUUGCAGCAACUGCGGGGCCCCGCUGUCAGACCCUUUAGCACCGGUUUUUGACACAAACCGGUCCUAAAGCCCUCCUCUCCUUCCUCCCCGAGCACCCCUAUAUUCCACCCCAUUAUUUCUAGCUCCAUUUUUUCUAGCUCGAGCUCAACUCCAUUUUUGCUCUCUCCUUCCUCUUGGGAGCUCUAAUCCAUCCCCAUUUUUCUCCACCAUUUGUCAAGAUUGUUGGCACCCAUCGGUCCUACGAUUAGCAUCAACAUUCCCUCUUCCGGUAUUGCAAGUUUUGCUCGUUUUCUUGCUCAUUUCAUUUUUGUUGUGCAAGCUAGGUGUUUGAUGAAAUGCCUAAGCUAGAGAGAGUUCAUCAUUUGUUAUGUAUACAUAUGCAAUUUGAGCUCAAAUUUAAUUAUGAUUUGUGGUUUUUUUUAGUGUCGCGCGCCUUGUCCCCUCCUCACCGCCGUCGAUCGCCCCGUCACCGACACAACCUUGGUGAGCCUAUUGUUUUUAUUUACCAAAACAAAUUUUGAUUUGUAUGAUUUACAUAUUUACUUGUAUAUAAUUUUCUUAUUGUGUAAGAUUUUUUUAUAUAUAUAGCGCCAUGGUUUUGAUAUCCGUCCCCGUUGGCCCUCGUCCAGUCUAUGAUUCGGAUGUGGUAUAUUAUCUUUUAUAACUACAUAUUUUCAUUUCCUGAUUAUAUGACAAUUAAUUACGCCGACCAACUUGACAUAGAUAUUUUUAUCUAGGAGGUAGUGGAACCGGAAAUGCCAAUCGACCCUAUUGUUGAGAAGUUACACUUAGUUGAACAAGAUGUUGGCCUGAAAGAAAGAUUGAAAAAAACUGAAGAAAGGUUGGAAAAAACUGAAAGAGAGAAGAUGACCUUGGAAAAGGUUCUUGCCGGUGUCGUCGAUGGUCACAAGAGCGAGAUGGACGCAAUGCGUCUGAAGAUUAGAAAGAUUAGAAAAUAUGCAAUUAGUAAAGAGGCUUGGUAUCAUUAUGCCGUCGGGUCAAUUGUUACCUUUGUUGCGAUUUUGAUCGCAUUUGUUGUUGUUUUUAAAUGCAUUAAUUAGAGAGAGUUUUUUAUGGUUGGUUUCACUGUGUGUUUUUAUGAGAACUAUAUAUGUAUGGUCACUACGCUACUUUGGUUUUAACGUGUGAUGAACUUUUUGUAUUAAUUAAUUAAUUUAGUCAUGAUGAUUUAGCAUAAUGGUUUUUGAUAAAUUUAUAUAAUGCAGAUGAACCGGCAAUGGAUGUACAGUGAUCGACGUCGUCCCGAAUUUCUUAAUGGCAUGCAUAGUUUUCUCAAUGUGGCUGAGAAAAACAGGCAGAAUGGAUUUAUUUUUUGUCCAUGUAAAAAAUGCCAGAAUAAGAGGAAUUUCCCUAACUCAAGAACCAUACACACCCACCUGUUGCAAGAAGGCUUCAUGCCAAGUUAUUUUUGUUGGACCAAGCACGGAGAAAGAGGGGUUGUAAUGGAAGACAAUGAAGAAGAAGAGGAUAAUGAUAACUAUCCUAUGUUCGGUGAACACGGUGAUACUGAAAUGGGGGAAGACGAGCCUGAACUUGAGGACAUUGUUGAUGAGUCUGAUGAUGAUCUUCGUCAGGUCAUUCGUGAAGAACAGAUAAACUGCGGAAGUGAAAACGAGAGGUUGAAGUUGGAGCGCAUGUUAGAAGAUCACAAAAAAUUGUUGUACCCAAAUUGUGAAGAUGGCCAGAAAAAGCUGGGCACCACCCUGGAAUUGCUGCAAUGGAAGGCAGAGAAUGGAAUAUCUGACAAGGGAUUUGAAAAGCUGCUGAAAAUAAUGAAGAAGAUGCUUCCAAGAGAUAACGUGCUGCCCUGCAGUACGUACGAAGCAAAGAAGGUUGUCUGCCCUCUAGGAUUGGAAGUGCAUAAGAUACAUGCAUGCAUCAAUGACUGCAUCCUCUACCGCGGUCAGCACGAGAAUUUAAAUGCCUGCCCGGUAUGCGGUGCAUUUCGGUAUAAGAUCAGGCGAGAUGACCCUGGUGAUGUUGAGGGCGACGACCGCCCCAGCAAGAGGGUUCCUGCCAAGGUGAUGUGGCAUGCUCCUAUAAUACCACGGUUGAAACGUUUGUUCCGAAACAAAGAGCAUGCCAAGUUGCUGCGAUGGCGCAAAGAAGACCGGAGGGAAGACGAUAUGCUGAGACAACCCGCUGAUGGGUCGCAGUGGAGAAACAUCGACGAUAAGUACGAGGACUUUGCACGUGACCCAAUAAACUUAAGGUUUGGUCUAAGUACAGAUGGCCUGAAUCCGUUUGGGGAGCAGAGUAGCAGUCAUAGCACCUGGCCCGUGACUCUAUGUAUCUAUAACCUUCCUCCUUGGUUAUGCAUGAAGCGUAAGUUCAUUAUGAUGCCAGUGCUUAUCCCAGGCCCGUCGCAACCCGGCAACAACAUUGAUGUGUACCUGAGGCCACUGGUUGAUGAACUUUUAGAGUUAUGGGCUGACGAAGGUGUACGUGUGUGGGACGAGUACAAACAGGAGGAAUUUGACCUACGAGGGUUGUUGUUUGUAACCAUCAAUGAUUGGCCCGCUCUUAGUAACAUCUCAGGACAGUCAAACAAGGGAUACAGCGCAUGCACACACUGUUUAGGCGAGACUGAAAGUAUACAUAUAGGCAAGAAUGUGUACCCGGGGCAUCGUCGAUUUCUUCCAGACAGGCAUCCCGUAAGAAAGAAAGGAAAGCAUUUCAAAGGCGAGGCAGAUACACGGAGGAAGCCAACCCUCCCUAAAGGUACUGAUAUAUAUGACAUGGUCAAAGAUAUAAAAGUAAUCUUUGGUAAGGGUCCUGGCGCACAAUCUGUUCCGAAUGACGCCGACAACCACGUAGCCAUGUGGAAGAAGAAAUCUAUAUUCUGGGAACUACCCUAUUGGAAAUUCCUAGAGGUUCGCUCUGCGAUCGACAUGAUGCACGUGACGAAAACUAUUUGCGUGAACCUGCUAAACUUAUUGGGCGUGCAUGGGAAGAAGUCGAGAGAUACACCAAAAGCACGGCUGCACCACCAACGUAUGCACGAACGAGACGACCUGAUGAAUCGAGAGAAUUUCAAAGGUCCUGCCAGCUACGCUCUUACCAAGGAAGAGAAGGAGAUCUUUUUCCAAGUCCUGAGCAGUAUCAAGGUCCCGUCUGGCUACUCGUCGAACAUAAAAGGAAUACUAAACCUGGAAGAGAAAAAGUUCCAAAACCUAAAGUCUCAUGACUGCCACGUGAUCAUGACCCAGUUACUUCCGAUUGCAUUGAGGGGGCUUCUGCCAGAAAACGUGUGAGUACCCAUUGUGAAGCUAUGUGCAUUCCUCAACGCAAUUUCUCAGAAGGCAAUCGAUCCAGCAACUCUACCAAGUUUACAGAAGGACGUGAUCCAAUGUCUUGUCAGCUUCGAGUUGGUGUUCCCACCAACCUUCUUCAAUAUUAUGACGCACCUCAUAGUUCACCUAGUCCAAGAGAUUUCCGUUCUGGGUCCUGUAUUCUUACACAAUAUGUUCCCCUUUGAGAGGUUCACGGGAGUCUUGAAGAAUUAUGUUAAAAACCGUGCUAGGCCAGAAGGAAGCAUGGUCAAGGGCUAUGGAACAGAGGAGGUCAUUGAGUUUUGUGUUGACUUUAUUCCUGACCUGAACCCGAUCGGUGUUCCUCAGUCGCGCCAUGAGGGGAGACUGCGUGGAAAAGGCACGCUAGGAAAGAAAUCAACAACAUGUAUGGACGAGCAAUCUUUCACUCAAGCACACUACACAGUUCUAGUUAAUUCCAGCUUGGCGGCUCCAUAUAUCCAGGAACACAAGGAUAUUUUACGCUUGGAAUACCCGGAGCAACCUGAAGAUUUCAUUGCUAAAGAACACGCGAAGACUUUCGGCGGUUGGUUGCAAAGACGUCUCAUUAAUGACAACAUUGUUGAAGAUGAGCUAUACUUGUUGGCCAAGCAACCAUCUUCGACUGUAUUGACCUUUAAAGGGUACGAGAUAAAUGGUAACACAUUUUACACGGCAGACCAAGAUAAAAAGAGCACCAACCAAAACAGUGGCGUCCGGUUUGAUGCAAAAGACGACAAUGGGCAAAGGGUCACAUACUAUGGUUACAUAGAGCAGAUAUGGGAACUUGACUACGGACCUUCCUUUAAGGUCCCUUUGUUCUGGUGCAAAUGGUUCAACCUGUCAGGCGUGAAGGUAGACCCGAAGUACGGAAUGACAACAGUGGAUCAGAAGAAUCUUGGGUACGGCAAUGAUCAAUUCGUCCUAGCCAAUGAUGUGGCUCAGGUUUUCUAUGUGAAGGACAUGUCUAGCAGACCGAGAAAAAGAAAAGAUAAGCAAGCGAAUACAUCAGACGAUGAGCCAAGGCGCCACAUAGUUCUUUCAGGGAAAAGAAACAUCGUGGGACUCGAGGACAAGACAGACAUGUGAGAAGAUUACAAUAAAUUUGAUGAAAUUCCUCCCUUCAAAGUCAAAGAUGAUCCAAGCAUCCCGUUAAAUGAUGAAGAUAGUCCAUGGUUACAGCGCAAUCAGAAGAAAGACAAGAAGAAAAAUAGAUAAGGGGUGUUGUUGGUGAUGUGUAAUAAUGUAUUAAACCUUUUAUGUAAUUGUGUUGACCAUUUUGAUAAAUAUUAAAAAUUUGACCAAUUUCCACUAAAUUUGACCAUUUUGAUAAAUAUCAUUUUUAGUUUUAAGUGUAAAAUGACAUUUUGACAAUUUAUAAAUAAAUGUAAAAGAAAACAGAAAAGGGAACAAAAAAGAAAAUAAAAAGAAACAAGGAAAAAAGGAAAACAAAAAGAAAAAGAAAACAAGGAAACAAAAAAAGGRAAAAAGGAAAAAUAAAAAGAAAAGAAACNNNNNNNNNNNNNNNNNNNNNNNNNNNNNNNNNNNNNNNNNNNNNNNNNNNNNNNNNNNNNNNNNNNNNNNNNNNNNNNNNNNNNNNNNNNNNNNNNNNNCCACAAAUACCUAUGGGCUUCCCCGGAGUGGGUUGCCCCCCUCCAGUGAACCCCCGGAACCCAUUCGUCAUUCCCGGUACAUUCCCGGUAACUCCGAAAACCUUCCGGUAAUCAAAUGAGGUCAUCCUAUAUAUCAAUCUUCGUUUCCGGACCAUUCCGGAAACCCUCGUGACGUCCGUGAUCUCAUCCGGGACUCCGAACAACAUUCGGUAACCAACCAUAUAACUCAAAUACGCAUAAAACAACGUCGAACCUUAAGUGUGCAGACCCUGCGGGUUCGAGAACUAUGUAGACAUGACCCGAGAGACUCCUCGGUCAAUAUCCAAUAGCGGGACCUGGAUGCCCAUAUUGGAUCCUACAUAUUCUACGAAGAUCUUAUCGUUUGAACCUCAGUGCCAAGGAUUCGUAUAAUCCCGUAUAUCAUUCCCUUUGUCCUUCGGUAUGUUACUUGCCCGAGAUUCGAUCGUCAGUAUCCGCAUACCUAUUUCAAUCUCGUUUACCGGCAAGUCUCUUUACUCGUUCCGCAAUACAAGAUCCCGCAACUUACACUAAGUUACAUUGCUUGCAAGGCUUGUGUGUGAUGUUGUAUUACCGAGUGGGCCCCGAGAUACCUCUCCGUCACACGGAGUGACAAAUCCCAGUCUUGAUCCAUACUAACUGAACUAACACCUUCGGAGAUACCUGUAGAGCAUCUUUAUAGUCACCCAGUUACGUUGCGACGUUUGAUACACACAAAGCAUUCCUCCGGUGUCAGUGAGUUAUAUGAUCUCAUGGUCAUAGGAAUAAAUACUUGACACGCAGAAAAACAGUAGCAAUAAAAUGACACGAUCAACAUGCUACGUCUAUUAGUUUGGGUCUAGUCCAUCACGUGAUUCUCCCAAUGACGUGAUCCAGUUAUCAAGCAACAACACCUUGUUCAUAAUCAGAAGACACUGACUAUCAUCGAUCAACUAGCUAGCCAACUAGAGGCAUGCUAGGGACGGUGUUUCGUCUAUGUAUCCACACAUGUAAAUGAGUCUUCAUUCAAUACAAUUAUAGCAUGGAUAAUAAACUAUUAUCUUGAUACAGGAAUUAUAAUAAUAACUAUACAUUUAUUAUUGCCUCUAGGGCAUAAUUCCAACAGUCUCCCACUUGCACUAGAGUCAAUAAUCUAGCCCUCACAUCACCAUGUGAAUCACAUUGUAAUAAAUCUAACACCCAUACAGUUCUGGUGUCGAUCAUGUUUUGGCCGUGGAAGAGGUUUAGUCAGCGGGUCUGCUACAUUCAGAUCCGUGUGCACUUUGCAUAUAUUUACGUCCUCCUCCUCGACGUAGUCGCGGAUGAGGUUGAAGCGUCGUUUGAUGUGUCUGGUCUUCUUGUGAAACCUUGGUUCCUUUGCUAAGGCAAUGGCACCAGUGUUGUCACAGAACAAGGUUAUUGGAUCCAGUGCACUUGGCACCACUCCAAGAUCCGUCAUGAACUGCUUCAUCCAGACACCCUCCUUAGCCGCCUCCGAGGCAGCCAUGUACUCUGCUUCACAUGUAGAAUCUGCUACGACGCUUUGCUUGGAACUGCACCAGCUUACUGCACCCCCAUUAAGAAUAAAUAUGUAUCCGGUUUGCGACUUAGAGUCGUCCGGAUCUGUGUCAAAGCUUGCAUCGACGUAACCUUUUACGGCGAGCUCUUCGUCACCUCCAUACACGAGAAACAUCUCCUUAGUCCUUUUCAGGUACUUCAGGAUAUUCUUGACCGCCGUCCAGUGAUCCACUCCCGGAUUACUCUGGAACCUACCUGCCAUACUUAUGGCCAGGCUAACAUCCGGUCUAGUGCACAGCAUCGCAUACAUGAUAGAGCCUAUGGCUGAAGCAUAGGGGACGGAGCGCAUAUGCUCUCUAUCCUCAUCAGUUGCUGGGCACUGAGUCUUACUCAAUCUCGUACCUUGUAACACUGGCAAGAACCCUUUCUUGGACUGUUCCAUUUUGAACCUCUUCAAAACUUUAUCAAGGUAUGUGCUUUGUGAAAGUCCUAUCAGGCGUUUUGAUCUAUCCCUAUAGAUCUUAAUGCCUAGAAUGUAAGCAGCUUCUCCUAGGUCCUUCAUAGAGAAACUUUUAUUCAAGUAACCUUUUAUGCUCUCCAAAAGCUCUACGUUGUUUCCAAUCAGUAAUAUGUCAUCCACAUAUAAUAUUAGAAACGCCACAGAGCUCCCACUCACCUUUUUGUAAAUACAAGAUUCUCCAACCACUUGUAUAAACCCAAAUGCUUUGAUCACCUCAUCAAAGCGUUUGUUCCAACUCCGAGAUGCUUGCACCAGUCCAUAAAUGGAUCGCUGGAGCUUGCACACCUUGUCAGCAUUUUUAGGAUCGACAAAACCUUCGGGUUGCAUCAUAUACAACUCUUCCUUAAGUAACCGUUAAGGAACGCCGUUUUGACAUCCAUCUGCCAAAUUUCAUAAUCGAAAAAUGCAGCUAUUGCUAACAUGAUUCUGACGGACUUAAGCAUCGCUACGGGAGAGAAAGUCUCAUCGUAGUCAAUUCCUGGAACUUGUGAAAAACCCUUUGCCACAAGUCAAGCUUUAUAAACGGUCGCAUUACCGUCAGCGUCCGUCUUCUUCUUAAAGAUCCAUUUGUUCUGAAUAGCCUUGCGGCCCUCAGGCAGCAUCUCCAAAGUCCACACUUUGUUCUCAUACAUGGAUCCUAUCUCGGAUUUCAUGGCUUCUAGCCAUUUGUUGGAAUCUGGGCCCACCAUUGCUUCUUCAUAAUUUGCAGGUUCAUUGUUGUCUAACAACAUGAUUGAUAAGACGGGAUUACCGUACCACUCUGGAGCAGCACGUGAUCUCGUCGACCUGCGUGGUUCAACAGAAACUUGAAUUGGAGUUUCAUGAUCAUCAUCAUCAACUUCCUCCUCAACCGGCGUCGCAAUGACAGAGGUUUCCCCUUGCCCUGCGCCACCAUCCAGAGGGAUGAGAGGUUCGACAACCUCGUCAAGUUCUAUCUUCCUCCCACUCAAUUCUCUCGAGAGAAACUCCUUCUCGAGAAAAGUUCCGUUCUUAGCAACAAACACUUUGCCCUCGGAUUUGAGAUAGAAGGUGUACCCAACUGUCUCUUUUGGGUAACCUAUGAAGACGCACUUUUCCGCUUUGGGUUCCAGCUUUUCAGGCUGAAGCUUUUUGACAUAAGCAUCACAUCCCCAAACUUUAAGAAACGACAACUUUGGCCUUUUGCCAUACCACAGUUCAUAUGGUGUCGUCUCAACGGAUUUCGAUGGUGCCCUAUUUAAAGUGAAUGCAGCUGUUUCUAAUGCAUAACCCCAAAAUGAUAACGGCAAAUCAGUAAGAGACAUCAUAGAUCGCACCAUUUCUAACAAAGUACGAUUACGACGUUCGGACACACCAUUACGCUGUGGUGUUCCAGGCGGUGUUAACUGCGAAACAAUUCCACAUUGUUUUAAGUGAGUACCAAACUCGAAACUCAGAUAUUCACCCCCACGAUCAGACCGUAGGAACUUGAUCUUCUUGUUACGAUGAUUUUCCACUUCACUCUGAAAUUGCUUGAACUUUUCAAAUGUUUCAGACUUGUGCUUCAUCAAGUAGACAUAACCAUAUCUACUUAAAUCGUCAGUGAAGGUGAGAAAGUAACCAUAUCCGCCACGUGCCUCCACGCUCAUUGGACCACACACAUCGGUAUGUAUGAUUUCCAACAAGUCACUUGCACGCUCCAUUGUUCCGGAGAACGGAGUCUUAGUCAUCUUGCCCAUGAGGCAUGGUUCGCACGUGUCAAGUGAAUCAAAGUCAAGUGACUCCAAAAGUCCAUCAGCAUGGAGUUUCUUCAUGCGCUUUACACCAAUAUAACCCAAGCGGCAGUGCCAUAAAAAUAUGGCGCUAUCAUUGUUUACUCUAACUCUUUUGGUCUCAAUGUUAUGUAUAUGCGUAUCUCUAUCAAGAUUCAAUAUGAACAAUCCUCUCACAUUCGGUGCAUGACCAUAAAAGAUGUUACUCAUAGAAAUAGAACAACCAUUAUUCUCAAACUUAAAAGAGUAACCGUCUCGCAAUAAACAAGAUCCAGAUAUAAUGUUCAUGCUCAACGCAGGCACUAAAUAACAAUGAUUUAAGUUCAUCACUAAUCCCGAUGGUAGUUGAAGUGACACUGUGCCGACGGCGAUUGCAUCAACCUUGGAACCGUUUCCUACGCGCAUCGUCACUUCGUCUUUCGCCAGCCUUCGUCUAUUCCGCAGUUCCUGCUUCGAGUUGCAAAUGUGAGCAACAGAACCGGUAUCGAAUACCCAGGCACUACUACGAGAGCUGGUUAAGUACACAUCAAUAACAUGUAUAUCAAAUAUACCUGAUUUUUCUUUGCCCGCCUUCUUAUCUGCCAGAUACUUGGGGCAAUUGCGCUUCCAGUGACCCAUACCCUUGCAAUAGAAGCACUCUGUUUCAGGCUUAGGUCCAGCCUUGGGUUUCUUCGGCGGAUUGGCAACAGGCUUGCCGCUCUUCUUCGAAUUGCCCUUCUUGCCUUUGCCGUUUCUCUUGAAACUAGUGGUCUUGCUCACCAUCAACACUUGAUGCUCUUUACGGAGUUCAGACUCUGCGACUUUCAGCAUCGCAAACAACUCGCCGGGAGACUUGUUCAUCCCUUGCAUGUUGUAGUUCAACACGAAGCCUUUGUAGCUUGGCGGCAGUGAUUGAAGGAUUCUGUCAGUGAUAGCUUCUUGCGGGAGUUCAAUCCCCAGUUCAGCCAAACGGUUUGAGUACCCAGACAUUUUGAGCACAUGUUCACUGACAGACGAGUUUUCCUCCAUCUUGCAAGCAUAGAAUUUAUCGGAGGUCUCAUACCUCUCGAUCCGGGCGUUCUUCUGAAAGAUAAACUUCAACUCCUGGAACAUCUCAAAAGCUCCAUGACGCUCAAAGCGACGUUGAAGUCCCGGUUCUAAGCCAUACAAGACUGCACAUUGAACUAUUGAGUAGUCCUCCUUACGUGCUAACCAAGCGUUCUUAACAUCCUGAUCAGCCGUAGCGGGUGGUUCAUCUCCUAGCGCAGCAUUAAGGACAUAAUCCUUCUUUCCAGCUUGUAAGAUUAUCUUAAGAUUACGAGCCCAGUCUACAAAGUUGCUUCCAUCAUCUUUCAACUUAGCUUUCUCUAGGAACGUAUUAAAAUUGAGGAUGACACUUGCGUGAGCCAUGAUCUACAACACAAAUAUAUUCAAAGUGGACUUUAUACUAUGUUCAAGAUAAUUAGAGUUCAACUUAAUCAAAUUAUAUGCUAAACUCCCACUCAAAAAGUACAUCUCUCUAGUCAUUUGAGUGGUUCAUGAUCCACUUACACUAUCCCAAGUCCGAUCAUCACGUGAGCCGAGAGUAGUUUCAGUGGUAAGCAUCCCUAUGCUAAUCAUAUCAACUAUAUGAUUCAUGAUCGACCUUUCGGUCUCAUGUGUUCCGAGGCCAUGUCUGCACAUGCUAGGCUCGUCAAGCUUAACCCGAGUGUUCCGCGUGCGCAACUGUUUUGCACCCGUUGUAUGUGAACGUUGAGUCUAUCACACCCGAUCAUCACGUGGUGUCUCGAAACGACGAACUGUAGCAACGGUGCACAGUCGGGGAGAACACAAUUUCGUCUUGAAAUUUUAGUGAGAGAUCACCUCAUAAUGCUACCGUCGUUCUAAGAAAAAUAAGGUGCAUAAAAGGAUUAACAUCACAUGCAAUUCAUAAGUGACAUGAUAUGGCCAUCAUCACGUGCUUCUUGAUCUCCAUCACUAAAGCACCGGCACGAUCUUCUUGUCACCGGCGCCACACCAUGAUCUCCAUCAUCAUGGUCUCCAUCAACGUGUCGCCAUCGGGGUUGUCGUGCUACUUAUGCUAUCACUACUAAAGCUACAUCCUAGCAAAAUAGUAAACGCAUCUGCAAGCACAUAUGUUAGUAUAAAGACAACCCAAUGGCUCCUGCCGGUUGCCGUACCAUCGACAUGCAAGUCGAUAUUUCUAUUACAACAUGAUCAUCUCAUACAUCCAAUAUAUCACAUCACAUUGUUUGGCCAUAUCACAUCACAAUCAUACCCUGCAAAAACAAGUUAGACGUCCUCUAAUUUUGUUGUUGCAUGUUUUACGUGGUGACCAAGGGUAUCUAGUAGGAUCGCAUCUUACUUACGCAAACACCACAACGGAGAUAUAUGAGUUGCUAUUUAACCUCAUCCAAGGACCUCCUCGGUCAAAUCCGAUUCAACUAAAGUUGGAGAAACCGUCACUUGCCAGUCAUCUUUGAGCAAAGGGGGUUACUCGUAACGAUGAAACCAGUCUCUCGUAAGCGUACGAGUAAUGUCGGUCCAAGCCGCUUCAAUCCAACAAUACCGCGGAAUCAAGAAAAGACUAAGGAGGGCAGCAAAACGCACAUCACCGCCCACAAAACCUUUUGUGUUCUACUCGAGAAGACAUCUACGCAUGAACCUAGCUCAUGAUGCCACUGUUGGGGAACGUCGCAUGGGAAACAAAAAUUUUCCUACGCGCACGAAGACCUAUCAUGGUGAUGUCCAUCUACGAGAGGGGAUGAGUGAUCUACGUACCCUUGUAGAUCGUACAGCAGAAGCGUUUAGAGAACGCGGUUGAUGUAGUGGAACGUCCUCACGUCCCUCGAUCCGCCCCGCGAACAAUCCCGCGAUCAGUCCCACGAUCUAGUACCGAACGGACGGCACCUCCGCGUUCAGCACACGUACAGCUCGACGAUGAUCUCGGCCUUCUUGAUCCAGCAAGAGAGACGGAGAGGUAGAAGAGUUCUCCGGCAGCAUGACGGCGCUCCGGAGGUUGGUGAUGAUCUUGUCUCAGCAGGGCUCCGCCCGAGCUCCGCAGAAUCACGAUCUAGAGGAAAAACUAUGGAGGUAUGUGGUCGGGCAGCCGUGAGAAAGUCGUCUCAAAUCUGCCCUAAAAGCCCCAUAUAUAUAGGAGGAGGGAGGGGGACCUUGCCUUGGGGUCCAAGGGAACCCCAAGGGGUCGGCCGAGCCAGGGGGGAGGACUCUCCCCCCCCAAACCGAGUCCUACUUGGUUUGGUGGGAGGGAGUCCUUCCCCCUUCCCACUUCUUCCUCUUUUUUUUUCUUCCUUUGAUUUUUUCUUCCUUGGCGCAUAGGAUUUGGUGGGCUGUCCCACCAGCCCACUAAGGACUGGUGUGACCCCCACAAAUACCUAUGGGCUUCCCCGGAGUGGGUUGCCCCCCUCCGGUGAACCCCCGGAACCCAUUCGUCAUUCCCGGUACAUUCCCGGUAACUCCGAAAACCUUCCGGUAAUCAAAUGAGGUCAUCCUAUAUAUCAAUCUUCGUUUCCGGACCAUUCCGGAAACCCUCGUGACGUCCGUGAUCUCAUCCGGGACUCCGAACAACAUUCGGUAACCAACCAUAUAACUCAAAUACGCAUAAAACAACGUCGAACCUUAAGUGUGCAGACCCUGCGGGUUCGAGAACUAUGUAGACAUGACCCGAGAGACUCCUCGGUCAAUAUCCAAUAGCGGGACCUGGAUGCCCAUAUUGGAUCCUACAUAUUCUACGAAGAUCUUAUCGUUUGAACCUCAGUGCCAAGGAUUCAUAUAAUCCCGUAUGUCAUUCCCUUUGUCCUUCGGUAUGUUACUUGCCCGAGAUUCGAUCGUCAGUAUCCGCAUACCUAUUUCAAUCUCGUUUACCGGAAAGUCUCUUUACUCGUUCCGCAAUACAAGAUCCCGCAACUUACACUAAGUUACAUUGCUUGCAAGGCUUGUGUGUGAUGUUGUAUUACCGAGUGGGCCCCGAGAUACCUCUCCGUCACACGGAGUGACAAAUCCCAGUCUUGAUCCAUACUAACUGAACUAACACCUUCGGAGAUACCUGUAGAGCAUCUUUAUAGUCACCCAGUUACGUUGCGACGUUUGAUACACACAAAGCAUUCCUCCGGUGUCAGUGAGUUAUAUGAUCUCAUGGUCAUAGGAAUAAAUACUUGACACGCAGAAAAACAGUAGCAAUAAAAUGACACGAUCAACAUGCUACGUCUAUUAGUUUGGGUCUAGUCCAUCACGUGAUUCUCCCAAUGACGUGAUCCAGUUAUCAAGCAACAACACCUUGUUCAUAAUCAGAAGACACUGACUAUCAUCGAUCAACUAGCUAGCCAACUAGAGGCAUGCUAGGGCGUGUUUCGCUAUGUAUCCACACAUGUAAAUGAUCUUCANNNNNNNNNNNNNNNNNNNNNNNNNNNNNNNNNNNNNNNNNNNNNNNNNNNNNNNNNNNNNNNNNNNNNNNNNNNNNNNNNNNNNNNNNNNNNNNNNNNNAUGAUGUUUUGACUCACAUCGUCGUAAUUUAUAUGUAGAUUUGAUCCCCUCAAACGGUUUACGACGAUCUCGGAUGAAAUUGUCAUAGAUUUAUGACGAAUUCAUCAACGACAUUUUAAAAAACAUCGCAUAUGAGCAUAUUUCUUGUAGUGGUAGUGUUGUAUGACUGGUGAAUGAUCGGUCCCCCUUGCAUGGAGGGCGACCGGGGGGUUUUAUAGACGAACCCGCCGGCCUACAAUAUGGAUAAAGGGUACAAGUGUGGGACCCGGCCGGCGGCCUCGCCGGCUGGUCGGGGGCCCACAAGAGUCUUGUCUUGUCGCUUGAGGGGCCCGCCGGCUGCAUGGUCUCAAUUAUGCGUGGGACCCGCCGGCUGGCCAAUGAGGCUCUCGCGUAAGGUUGACGCCGAGCACGCGCUGUACGUCAAGCGUCGCCCCGCGAGAUUCGUCAUGGGCAGGUAGUACGGCCGCCUCCACUGUUCCCCGCGCCGAGUGCAGUAAUGGAGUGGGAGUGUGAUGGUCCGAUAGUAUGCUAGAUGAUGGAUCAGAGCCGGGGUAGGUCAACGGCGUGGCCGCCGACGCUCGUACCUGUCGGACGCCCUGAUCCAGUACCUUUGCUGACGCGUAGCUACCUUUAAUCGUGAGGUCUUAUUGUGACCUACGAUCUGAUAUGACUUGUGCUCUUCGGCCGGCUAGCCUGCUUGGCUAGCCGGCUUAUGUGUAGCCGCCUCCUCCCUAGCCCGGCUGGCGGGACAAGGCCGACUCGGAAGAGGAGGCCGCCUCGUCUCUAGCCGGCUGGGGUUGCCCGGCCGGCCAAAGGGAUGGCCGCCUCAUCCUCUAGCCGGUAGACGUUGCCUAGCCGGCCAGAAGACUUGGGCCUUGGGGAAUCUGUAUACGUUCAUGUCCAUUCGGCCGGAAAUGGAGGAACAGGCUCGAUGAGCCUACCCCGGGGUCAUCCCCCCGACAAGUGUUGUCACUUGAUAACUCGAAGACUUCAUUAGGAGAAUCAUGUGAUGGACUAGACCCAAAUUAUGAACGUAGCAUAUUGAUCGUGUCAUUUUGUUGCUAUUGUUUUCUGCGUGUCAAGUAUUUAUUCCUAUGACCAUGAGAUCAUAUAACUCACUGGCACCGGAGGAAUACCUUGUGUGUAUCAAACGUCGUAACGUAACUGGGUGACUAUAAAGGUACUCUACAGGUAUCUCCGAAGGUGUCCGUUGAGUUAGUAUUUAUCAAGACUGGGAUUUGUCACUCCGUGUGACGGAGAGGUAUCUCGGGGCCCACUCGGUAAUACAACAUCACAAACAAGCCUUGCAAGAAAUGUGACUAAGUGUAAGUCACGGGAUCUUGUAUUACGGAACGAGUAAAGAGACUUGCUGGUAACGAGAUUGAAAUAGGUAUACAGAUACUGACGAUCGAAUCUCGGGCAAGUAACAUACCGAAGGACAAAGGGAAUGACAUACGAGAUUAUAUGAAUCCUUGGCACUGAGGUUCAACCUAUAAGAUUUUCGGAGAAUAUGUAGCAUCCAAUAUGGGCAUCCAGGUCCCGCUAUUGGAUAUUGACCGAGGAGUGUCUCGGGUCAUGUCUACAUAGUUCUCGAACCCGCAGGGUGUGGACACUUAAGGUUUGUUGAUAUUUUAGUAUAGUUGAGUUAUAUGUGUGGUUACCAAAUGUUGUUCGGAGUCCCGCAUGAGAUCACAGACGUCAUGAGGGUUUCCGGAAUGGUCCGGAAACGAAGAUUGAUAUAUAGGAUGGUUUCGGGCAUUUCCGGCAGUGUACCGGGAGUGACUAAUGGGUUUCGGGUGUUUACCGGGAGGGGCCCAUCCACCUGGGAGUGAGCCCAUGGCCUUAGGGUGGCGCACCAAGUCCUUAGUGGGGUGGUGGAGCCAGUCCAAAAGGGCUAUGGCGCCACAAGUAAAAAUACCAAAGGAAAGCAAAAAAAGGAAAGAGGGAGGUGGGUAGGAAGAGGAGAACUCCUCCUUCCCAAACCGAAUUAGAGGAGGAGUCCUCCUCCCCCUUCGGCCGUCACACCCUUGGGGCCCUUGUGCCCCAAGGCUAGCCCCUCCCCUCCUCCUAUAUAUAUUAGUGGUUUAGGGCUUUUUGAGACACAACUUUGCCACGUGCAACUCAAUCCUAUUCCACAUAGUUUUGCCUCUAGAUCGGAUUUCUGCAGAGCUCGGGCGGAGCCCUGCAGGAGUAGAUCAUCACCACCACCGGAGCGCCUUCACGCUGCCGGAGAACUCUUCUACUUCUCCAUCUCUCUUGUUGGAUCAAGAAGGCCGAGAUCGUCAUCGAGCUGUACGUGUGCUGAAUGUGGAGGUGUCGUCCGUUCGGCGCUAGAUCAGAUAGGAUCGUUGGACGGAUCGUGGGACGACGGUGAUUUGAAUCACGAAGCUGUACCACUACAUCAACCGUGUUUCUUAACGCUUCCCGCUUAUUGAUCUACAAGGGUACGUAGAUCUAAUCACCUCUCGUACAUGGACAUCACCAUGAUAGGUCUUCGUGUGCGUAGGAAAAUUUUGUUUCCCAUGCGACGUUCCCCAACAUUAGUAACGUUAUCAACAUCAAGUAGAAUAUGAGUAUACCCAUUAGAAGAAGGAAAAUGGUCCCAUUUAAUCAUUGCGCCAAACAUCAAAUGGUUCAGUAGCAACUAGCAAGUGAAUAAUUCAAAGGCAUUUCCUGACAUCUACAAAUAUUAAAAUUCUUUGAAAAUCACAAGAAAGGACAUACUUACAAGCAUCUUUAAAAAGAGUAGGCCAAUAGAAACCGGAUUGUAAUACCUUGUGUGCAUUUCCUGCGGUAGCUUGUGUGCUCUCUGUUGUCAUAUGGCUUAAUUUCUACUUUCUUAUAGGGCUGAGUAUUACCGGAGGCAAUUCAGGGCCAACCCUGUAAGCAAUGUCAUCUUCCUCCUCUUCCAAUUUUUCAAUCUCAAUUCUUUCACAUGCUUCACAAACAAAACAAGCACCUUUAAAUUCACAGAAGCUCUUGCCAUCUUCGGAGAGUCUACAUCAAAAUCAAUUGAGAACAAUUCUCCUAGUGUUUUACCCGGUGGGCACCAGAACACAAUAUCGAACUCACCAGGUGGAUAUUUCAGCUACCACAAAAUAUAGUCAAUCAUAUCAUUGCAGAAAGUGUUCCUAUCAAGGUUAUCAACACAAAUACUUUUUCAUCCAAAUAUGCCAAAUUAAGUCCUUUUCCCAUGAAGAAACCACCAAGAUGCAUCUCUAUACUGAAUUUUCCUGAAUCCGAACCUAUAUUGCAAAAUUUAUCAUUAGUUCACUAACCCUAGCAAGCAAUCGACAGAUGAAACAUAAGAGUGGGUACAAUCCUACAAAAAAAAGAUCAAGAACCUAGAACUUAUACUAAUUCACUACCUAAUCUAUCAUAGACCUAGCUAUUAGGAGGGGGGAGCCAAUCAUCGUAGACCUAAUCUACCUGAUAUGGCAGCGUAAGCGGAUAAUCCUAGCUAUUAGAGGGAGGGGAGGAGACACAGGGCUAACCAUAGGUCGGGCGUCUAUCCUCUUCUGUCCUCAACUUCGGCUACAUCUCAGUCAUCUUUGCCCGUACACUUGCCGCCGCCGACCUCGACACACCCGCAACACCACCCGUCGCCUCACCCAUCGGCAAAUAGAGAAAAGAGUGUCUUUUGUGCAAAAAAAAAAAACUACCCACACACGUGACAUGUGUGCCUCGCGUGACCUUCGAAUCAGGCGGCAGUCCGAUCAAAAUGGUCAGUGUGACCUAGAUGCACCCGCGUGCAGUGUGACUUAAGUGUAGACGCAACACAAGUUUUCAGGGCGCUAGUUCCUUUUGCUCAGGUAGAAAUGNNNNNNNNNNNNNNNNNNNNNNNNNNNNNNNNNNNNNNNNNNNNNNNNNNNNNNNNNNNNNNNNNNNNNNNNNNNNNNNNNNNNNNNNNNNNNNNNNNNNCUCCUGACCUCCGAGGAGACGGCGAGGAUGGUGGUGGACAACGCCAACAUCCCCGGAUGGUGGGAGGACAGGUUCGAGAAGGCCAUGGUGAAGAUGGCCGGCAUCGAGGUCAAGACCGGUGACCAGGGACAGAUCAGGAAGAACUGCCGCGCAAUCAACUAGUACCAAUUAAGUGCGUGCAUGUACGUCUACGUGCAUGCAUGUCAAAGGAUCGUCCAGUGUUUUGCUUCAUCCUGCAUGCGAACUUUCUUUUUUUAGCACCUACAUUUCUUGUCUUUUCAUUUGUCAUUUCUUAGUUCUAUUUGCGCCAACGGAAUUAUUUGUGUAUAUGGAAUGUACAUGUGUAAAUGGGCUGCGGAAAACAAUGUUCUUUGUAUUUGGGAUAAUAAAAUUAAUAAGUUAUGCAUGUAACAUGUUUUGAAUAGCGAUUUUGGAUGUUUUGAACAUGACAUCUGAACCUCUGCCAUGAUUCCCUGAAUCAGUUGGUAUAUACCUGUUACUCAAAAAAAAAAAAAGGUGUAUACCGUAAUUGACGACUAACUAAAUUGCAUCAUGGCUUUCACAAAUCAUAGGCAGCAACAAGUAUCAAAAGGACAAAUCUCCAGUCUCCAGCAACAACAUACCGUCGGCAGAGGAGGCCGUUGAGGAGGAGGAGAUGAUGUAGUCGCGCCGCGCCGCCUCGCUGUAGUCGCGCCGCGCCGCCUCGCUGUAGUCGCGCCGCGCCGNNNNNNNNNNNNNNNNNNNNNNNNNNNNNNNNNNNNNNNNNNNNNNNNNNNNNNNNNNNNNNNNNNNNNNNNNNNNNNNNNNNNNNNNNNNNNNNNNNNNCAUGAGAUUANCUAGCCAUAACAUAUGCAUUCAUGUCAAAUAGACUAGCAAAUCGAUUAACACUCCGGUGAACAAGAUCAAAAUCAAGAUAGAUACUAAUUCAGGUCGUUCCACGGCCGCAUAGGUCUUCAACAUACACCUUGAUGGAUCUUUUCUGUCAGCAGCCUGUGUAAAACAAUUGGCAAUUAUCAAAACAAGGCCAAAAAUAGGUCCUCCUCUCUUCAUGUAUGAAUAUAUGGUCAAUUAGUUCUUGAUGUUCUACAUUGGAGUAUACUACUCGUUAGACAAAAAUAUAUUAGAAAUUUUGGCAACUGUUUACAAACUGUAUGUAAUCAUACUAAUCUUGUUUAACACUAGACAUAACUAUUAAAACUGGAGUGAAGCACAGUUGAAUAUGAUAACACAAUGCAACUGUAUCAGCAGGUCAGCAGCAAACUGUUCAUGAUCAGCUACUUAUCAAUGAUACAAACAGUUUUCUUCUUCUUGGAAGCUACACUGGGAACGAUCGGUGCUAAUUUAUUAAGUAUUACUCCAACCAUUUUAGGUCCUUCUUUGUACUUUAUUUUUUUUAGACCACUUACACUUAAUUUAAAAAGGAGAUGCACAUACGCGCAAUAGCACACAUGAAAUAUCAGUAAAAAAUUUCCCAUGAAUGAGGUGUUUAGCUCAUCUUUUUUUCUUGGAAAAGGAGGUUAAACCUCCGGCCUCUGCAUCAAUCGAUGCAUGCAGCCAUAGCUAGUACCGAUAAGCCAUCAAGCCAUUGAAUUAGAAAUUUAGAAUAUCUUGCAGUACUCCACUAGCUAUAGCUAGUUAGCUAGGCAUGACACCUAAUUAUAAGUAGAAACUAAGCAUGCAUGCUGCAUCAUUGUUAAGAGGUCCAGUUUGAAACAGACUUCGGUUUCCACAUGAUGGACCAAGAGUACCAUACUUUUCCCGUCAAUUCACGCAUGACAUGCAUUGUGUACUCCUACUACAAAUGUUAAAGGUAUGUUCAUCACAAGAGUGUGCAUGGACACUAACGAUAACCAGAGUAAAAGCUAAACAGUGCACCGGGUCGCCGGGAUUAAUGACUGCGCGUGCACUAAACGAAUCAACAACAUUUUACAAGCAAAUCGGGCAGCCAAUCAUCGACAUUAAUUGGGUUCAAACGCAUCAUUGCACACAUCAAACUAACCAAAGAACCGUGAUGGUUUAUUCAAAAUUGUAAAUGCUUGGAAGAAGAAGACCAGCUAAGAACCGUGAUGGUUUAUUCAAAAUUGUAAAUGCUUGGAAGAAGAAGACCAGCUAGAACACAAUGCAGGAAGUGUAGUUAAUGUCGCACCUGGCCUGACAGAUAGCAGCCGCUCGGCUACUGGCCGGCGCCGCCCCUCUCGUUGCUGCCGGCGAUGCCGGGCUUCAGGAAGGGCGAGCCGCCGAGCAUGCCGAGGCCUGGCACCGAUCCGGCGUCGGUCAUCGCGGCCGCCGAGUACCCGAACUCGUAGCUGCCGUUCAGCCCCAGCCUCGUGAUGGGCUCGGCCGCCUCGCAGCUCCUGAACAGCAUCUGCACGGCCGUGAACUGCUGGUCUUGCCCGAAGCCCGUCACGUCGCCGAUGGAGCCGAGCGCCGCGGAGUGUCCCACGUUGAUGAAGCUCGCCAUGCCGUUCGGGACAGCGCUGCCGAUGAACUCCGCCAUCGCCUGCGACCCAUUUGGCCCUGCCGCUGACUGAAGCAAGGACCACAGUCAAAAACCAUCAACAAAUGUAUGAGCAUCAGCGUAUGAGCUAUGAUCGAUGGUAUGGAAGAUCGACAAGUGUGAUCACAACCAAAUCCAUGCCAGAAGGAACGCAUGUAAAAAAGCACCACGUAGUGGAACCCCUGGAGUUAUACCUGGAUCUCUCUGAGCGCCUCGACCCGCUUCCUGACCUUGGGCUCCAGGCUCUCGAGCACGUCCGUGUGCCGGGCCGCCAAUCCCUGCAGCGUGUUCUGCACAUCCGAGGCACCGAAUCAGCGCGGCUAGACCGCAUAAAUAGCCCAGAGAACCCCCUGAGACGGACGAUGAACGGGAUAAACGUGGAGCCGCUGCGGGAAACCUCACCUUAAUCGACUCCACGAGGUUGGCCUUGUGCUCGGCGCUGAGCUCUGCAUCGAACCACCACCACAGAAACCGGUAAGACCUCACAACCCGCAAACAGUAGCAACAUAGAGGUGGGGAGCGGGAUCGAAACCACCAGCAGCGAAACCGAUACGACCUCACAGCCCGCAAACAGCAGCAACAGAGAGGUGGGGAGCGGGAGCGGCGAACGAACCUGCGGCGUUGGGGACGGCAGCGCCGAGGGCGGAGAGGUCGAGGGUGUCCUUGCCGUCGCUCAUUGCUGCUGCUGGAGAUUCGGGCUCCUCCUGCGAGGGAGGCGGCGAGGGUGAGAAACCCUAGCGGCGGCGGCGCGUGGGGGUGGGGGGUUGGGGGCGCGGACUGCUGCGCGUGGGGGGAGUGGAGGGGUGGAGUGGGGAGGGUGAACGGGUCGGCUAGGGUUAGCCCCCUCGGGGGCUUUAUACCCGAGGGUGGUUAUGGGCCGGGGCGGUAGAUGGUCAGCUGGGCCACUUGGCCCAGUUGGGCCAGGGGAUCUUUUUAUUUUUCUUUUUUUAAUACUUUUUUCUAUUAUUCUUUUAUUAGUUAUCAUUAUUAUUAUUUCUGUUUUAAAUAUAUAGGAUUUUAACCAAUUUUAGAAUGUCCGAUUCAUAAUUAUAAUCUACUAGUCGUAGACCCGUGCAUUUGCACGGGCAUAGUUACAAGACUUAUAUUUAGGAACAUAGGGAGUGUGAUAUUAAAUGGAAAUAAUUGCAAAAAGUAAUAACUAAAAGGAAAAUAAAACCAUUUCUCAAUCCAAUGAGAUGUUGGUUGAAAGUACUUAUAUAAAAUAUUAGUUGACCAAAUGAUUAUGGGAAGAAUAGAUUAUUGAACCAUUAAUUAUUGAACGGUCAUACCCGUAGUUUUGACCGUGUUUGAAUGGCCAUGAAAAAUUCAAAACAAAUUCAAAAAAAUGGAAAACCAUUAGCAUUGUGUCAUUGUAAUGUAACAAGUUACCAGGAAAAAUAAUAAACUAGUAAUACGACAAAUUAUUUAAAUNNNNNNNNNNNNNNNNNNNNNNNNNNNNNNNNNNNNNNNNNNNNNNNNNNNNNNNNNNNNNNNNNNNNNNNNNNNNNNNNNNNNNNNNNNNNNNNNNNNNUGCGUGGCUGGUACGGCGUAUGGGUGGAAAGUWAAUGUGAGUGACCGGGUGGUCCGGGCCGAACGGGCCGGCCGGGCCCCGUCGGACGGGGGGGGGGGGGGCGGGUCGCCCCGGGCCCCCCGGGACCUGAGGGGCCCCCAACUCAGGUAUGUGUGAGCACCCAACCCCCAAUCAGCCAAAGAUGCCAUUAGAGCAGUUAGAGACUAGAGAGUAGCUGCGGUAUGGCUUUAGGAAGAAGAAAGCUGAAACGGUAUUUCCUUUAGCUACUUGGGCUUUGGGCCUUUGUUUCCUUUUGCUGAAUCGUGGCAUUAAGUGGUGGUGGGCUUUUCCUGAAAGAAGUAAUGGUGGGUUAUGUGUAAGAAAAAGUGGUGGGUUAUGUGCAAGAAAAAGUGAUGGCCGGCCACACCAAACUAGAGGAGGAAACGAGCACAUGGUACACAACUUAUAAAUUAAAAGAAGAAGAUUGGUGACCAAUUGACAUGCUUGCGUGUUGUCUGACAUUACAACCCUGACAAACUAAUAUUACUUUUUUUUUUGUAAAAUAAAUCUAUUUUUUAUUUUGCAAGCGUAGCAAACUAAUACUGUAUCUCGAUAAGAAAAAUAAACAUAUCAUAAUUAUUAUAUGUGCGGUGUCCAUAAACAAAAGUAUUGUAGCGGAGACCAAGAGCGGCACGCACGAUGACGACAGACUGACGCCAUGGAUGUGCACUAUGGUCAUUCCGUAUUAUGAAUUGAGAGUUGACUGUUCUACUUUGGUGUUAAUAUUCAUAUGUGUGAUUCUAAUUGUUAUUUUGCUUCUAUAAGUUUCGUAUAUAUGAAAAAGUUUUUUCACCUAUUCAGUUUCUUCAUACAUAAAAUUUAGUGUGUGCUCCGUCACCAUGUUUCUGUGUAAUUUGCGUGCAAAUGGAUAAAUGUAAUUUAGAUGAUCUUCUGUAUUCUAAUGCCUCGGUGUGGCGACAAACUCUUGAUAUCAUGUGUGUCCCGGUCAGAAAUGACCCAUCACCGCCCUCGACGAGUCCUACCAAGAUGCAGCUACAUCAUGCACAUUAGCCCCCGCAUCGACGUGAUCUCAUAGAAGAUAUGUGUCUGAUUCUCUUUUCAUAGAUAUCAUCAGUAAAGACCUUGUGUGCAAGAUUACUGGAUUCUUUUUGGGGAGCUUCUUUUCUAUCUCGCCCUGGGUCCCCGAAAUCACAGGACCGGCCCUGGCUGUCGGUGGAGCCGAUGAUGGCUGGGAGAUACAUGGUGGUGAUGCAGCUGGAGCUUUGGAGUUUCGUGGAUGAUGGCUAGGAGGUGGCAGUGUGACAGAAACUAUUGUGCUGAGGUGGAUGUGGUGCAGCAGAAAUGAGCAUCAGGUUAACUAGACUCGAAUUGGUGCCCGCACGUUUUGUUUUAUAGUACUGGGGGAUCAAAGAAGAUGGGCUUUGGUGUUCCUUAUGUCGGGUGCUUGGUAAAGUAGACCAUGUGACGACUCAUGGCUUUCUUCAUUUCAAGAAACAAAAUGAUAAGUGUUUAUCGAGUUUCCAUUAAAACUCGACAAAGCCAGCCCCCUCUGUCACCUAGUUAUCGCCUCGUUUGUUUGGGGCCCCUCCGUCACGACUUUGGGGUGUUUCUUUCCAGGGACUUUUUGGUGUAGGGACUAAAAAAGACCCUUUUACUCCCAUGUGAAAGAAACAGGAGGGACUUUUAGGAACUAAAAGGGGGUAUUUGGGACUAAAGGAAGAUGUUCCUAUGGAAGGGACUUUUGGGGACUUUUUUUUUUGACACUUUUUCCAACAGUGCCCCUACUUUUAGCAUGCCAUUUAAUAACCUCUAGUAUAUUACUAGGGGUUACAUGGUCUUUUUGCAUGUCAUUUAAUGACCUCUAGUCCAUAUUUAGUCCUUGGAAAGAAACGGGUAGGGACUAAAUACUUUUUAGUUGAGACUAAAAAAAGUCCUAAGAGUUUUUAAAGAAACAGGGCCUUUGUCGAGUUCCUUUACCUCGGGACUCGGCAUCCCAAGGACUUUCUCAUAUUUUGAAUGAUUGUCGAGUUGGUUUUCUUCGUCAGGUUUGUCGUGUUUCAUGCCAUUGCCCAGUUCACUUAGGCAUGUUCUUGGCAAACUGCUAACAUUGCCGUGCUCAUGAUAAAAUACACUCGGCAAACUCCGGGAAAUAUGCAUCUUCGUCAAUUACGGUAUACUACCUUUUUUUUUUUUUGUAGUAACAGGUAUAUACCAACUGAUUCAGGGAAUCAUGGCAGAGGUUCAGAUGUCAUGUUCAAAACAUCCAAAAUCGCUAUUCAAAACAUGUUACAUGCAUAACUUAUUAAUUUUAUUAUCCCAAAUACAAAGAACAUUGUUUUCCGCAGCCCAUUUACACAUGUNNNNNNNNNNNNNNNNNNNNNNNNNNNNNNNNNNNNNNNNNNNNNNNNNNNNNNNNNNNNNNNNNNNNNNNNNNNNNNNNNNNNNNNNNNNNNNNNNNNNGAUUCCGACGAUUCCAUAACUGCGGGGAAAGUUWCCGACGAUUCCGUAAAACUUUCCGACGAUUCCGUAAAACUUUGCGACGAUUACGACUCCGACGAUUCCGUAAAACUUUUCCGUAAAAUUUCCGGUUCCGUAAAACUUUUCCGUAAAUAACUUUGCUAAGUUAAAUUCUUGUUACUAGCAGGUGUUGAGCUAUGGAUCCCCAAGAACCAUAUGAUCAGCACGCCGAUCAGCUCGCGGGAAUGGGUGAGGCAGAGAAGGAAAGAUACAUGUGCCAGAUGAUUUUUGAAGAUGCAACGGCCAUAUAUCAUGAUGACGACGGUGGGCAUGCGUUUAUCAAUCAAUUUUUGAACGACUCCUGUGACAGAGCUGAGAAUAUAGAAGAUGUAGUAGAUGCAGAAGUGCCCUCCGGAACAAACUCUGCCAAUGUAUAUCUCAAGUCACUGUUGACGCAACAAUUAAUUUGUAUUGCACUUACUAACGAAUCAUUAUUUUCCCGUUUAGGUGCCCUCCGGAACACCUAGCGCAAGUACUAAGACAAAGUCGAAACGAGGCCCGGCCGCAAGGUUGAAAGAUACUGCAAGGUACUCGAUCGAUAAAGUUGCUGCUGAUGGCAAACCACUGGAACCCCCAGAAACUUAUCGUAAAUUUGUAAAUCAGUGCGGAGUUGUUGUAAGAGACCUGGUCCCGAUCAACUUAAUAGAAUGGAAUAAGCCGAAGACCGGCGCCAACGUUGGAACUACUUAUGUCGAUGACAGAUUGAAAAGAAUGCUUUGCGACACGGUGUGGCUAAAUUUCAGCGUAGCGGAAGAUAAAAAGAAGAAAGUCGAGGAGUGGGCUUUGAAGAAGAUGGCCACACAAUUCCAGAGGUGGAAGAAAGACUUGUGGAAGAAAUAUAAGGAUGAAGAUCCAGUUUUCACUGGGCACCUAGUGAAGAUAAGAGACGCUUGGCCUGAUUUUAAGGCGUACAAGAAAUCGGGUGUCUUUACAUCCCGAUCAGCCACAAAUACGGAGAAUGCGAAGAAGAAGAAAUAUCACCAUAUUUUGGGGUCAGGUGGCUACAUGAAUGCCCUGCCUAGGUGGCGACGCUAUGAAGAUGCGCUUCUGAAAAGAAAUAUCAUUCCACAGACACAUGACUGGCCCGAUAGGUCCAAGUUCUGGUUGUUCGCGCAUGGGGCAACGUUGGACGCUGAGACUGGGAUGAUUGUUGCGGAGGGACCAUGGUCGGAAAAAAUAAGACAAGUCGUAUCAGAUCUAGAGAAGGCAAUAGAAGCUGUUCGAAAAGGAACUUUUGUUCCCGAUAGAGAGAACGACGAGUUGACGAAGGCACUCGGGAACCCCGAAAAGUGGGGACGAACACGAGGCUUUGGAGCCACUACCCCGUGGAACCAAGGAUUUCCGGCGGACCUUGGCACUUACAGAAGCCGUGGUAGAAGCAAGAGGAAGGCGCUGGAACGGAUAUCGACAUUAGAAGAAAAGGUGGCGUUUCUCUUGAAGAAAGGGGGACACCCUGUACCUGACACUGAAGAGGAGGAAGAAGUGUUGGAAUUAUGCCCUAGAGGCAAUAAUAAAUGUAUAGUUAUUAUUAUAAUUCCUGUAUCAAGAUAAUAGUUUAUUAUCCAUGCUAUAAUUGUAUUGAAUGAAGACUCAUUUACAUGUGUGGAUACAUAGACGAAACACCGUCCCUAGCAUGCCUCUAGUUGGCUAGCCAGUUGAUCGAUGAUAGUCAGUGUCUUCUGAUUAUGAACAAGGUGUUGUUGCUUGAUAACUGGAUCACGUCAUUGGGAGAAUCACGUGAUGGACUAGACCCAAACUAAUAGACGUAGCAUGUUGAUCGUGUCAUUUUAUUGCUACUGUUUUUCUGCGUGUCAAGUAUUUAUUCCUAUGACCAUGAGAUCAUAUAACUCACUGACACCGGAGGAAUGCUUUGUGUGUAUCAAACGUCGCAACGUAACUGGGUGACUAUAAAGAUGCUCUACAGGUAUCUCCGAAGGUGUUAGUUCAGUUAGUAUGGAUCAAGACUGGGAUUUGUCACUCCGUGUGACGGAGAGGUAUCGUCGGGGCCCACUCGGUAAUACAACAUCACACACAAGCCUUGCAAGCAAUGUAACUUAGUGUAAGUUGCGGGAUCUUGUAUUGCGGAACGAGUAAAGAGACUUUCCGGUAAACGAGAUUGAAAUAGGUAUGCGGAUACUGACGAUCGAAUCUCGGGCAAGUAACAUACCGAAGGACAAAGGGAAUGACAUACGGGAUUAUAUGAAUCCUUGGCACUGAGGUUCAAACGAUAAGAUCUUCGUAGAAUAUGUAGGAUCCAAUAUGGGCAUCCAGGUCCCGCUAUUGGAUAUUGACCGAGGAGUCUCUCGGGUCAUGUCUACAUAGUUCUCGAACCCGCAGGGUCUGCACACUUAAGGUUCGACGUUGUUUUAUGCGUAUUUGAGUUAUAUGGUUGGUUACCGAAUGUUGUUCGGAGUCCCGGAUGAGAUCACGGACGUCACGAGGGUUUCCGGAAUGGUCCGGAAACGAAGAUUGAUAUAUAGGAUGACCUCAUUUGAUUACCGGAAGGUUUUCGGAGUUACCGGGAAUGUACCGGGAAUGACGAAUGGGUUCCGGGGGUUCACCGGAGGGGGGCAACCCACUCCGGGGAAGCCCAUAGGUAUUUGUGGGGGUCACACCAGUCCUUAGUGGGCUGGUGGGACAGCCCACCAAAUCCUAUGCGCCAACGGAGAAAAUCAAGGAGAAAAGAGANNNNNNNNNNNNNNNNNNNNNNNNNNNNNNNNNNNNNNNNNNNNNNNNNNNNNNNNNNNNNNNNNNNNNNNNNNNNNNNNNNNNNNNNNNNNNNNNNNNNCAGCUGCGAUCAUUGCCUCAUGAAAACUUUCGUAACGAUUUUGCCUAGUAAAUCUUUCUCAACAAAUUUCCAAAGUUUGUGUUCAGCUAACAGCUUUUGUGAAGGAAGUACUAGAUAGGAAUAUCCUAAUGAGUUGAAUUUUUUUCCACAUCAUCUAUGUGCCCAAAAACGUAGCUCUCCAUAAAAUUUUAGCCACAGCUSUAACAAUUCAUGUGAGCUCAUCAUCCAAUCUUUGUUUUUGGUAAUAUUUUCAUUUUGUGAAGCAACUAUGUUUCAUAUUGCUUUAUAGUUGAUGAAAAAUUUACCACGGGAUGAUACUGACCAUAUAACCUCACUGCACCAAAUUUUAGCUCAUUUAAUUCAGCCAGUUUCUCUCAAUAUUUUUCCCAAUAUUCUAUUCGGUAGAGAGCAUUAUGAAGGAAGUACAAUUUUUGUUUAUCCAAAUUUUAUGAAUUUUUUACAUUAUCUUAAUGUGCCCAAAUUAUCAUCCUCCUCCAAAUUUAAGCUCAAUCCAAUCAUCUAUGUGAGCCCAAAUUUUAAUUACCAUUUUCUGUCCAGAUUGGCACAUUGUGAAGGAAGUGUCACUUUGGCAUGUCCAAAUGGUAUAAUUUUUAUACAGUGCCUUCAUAUGCCCAAAUUAACAUCAUACACCAAAUUUCAGGUCAAUCCAUUCAUUCAUUUGAUCCUAGCUUCAACAUCCAUAUUUCUGCACAAUGUGUUACUUUGCAAAGCAAGUGCCACCUAGAUUCAUCCAUUUGAGAUAAAAAUUUGCCAAGAGAGUCUUCUUAGUAGAUGAUCAUCAUCAGCCAAAAUUUAGGCCCAUUGUCUAUGUGAAUUACCCGCACCGCUAAUCAAACACUUGGCUGCUAAUCCAUGUUUGUGCUUAGUUCAGUCUCCUCAUGAGAUUAUUCUAUUGUAUUAUUCUUGCUAACCCCUAUCGAGGGAUUGUCCAACCCACCAUACAUGACUAUUCCACCUAGAACGCGUGGCAAUGCAACGGUUAGGCGGUGACCAUGCGACUGGCAUGCAAGUUCACGCACUCUGGAGUUGGGGCCCUCGACCACCAUGCAAACCUCGACGUCAAGGCACCACACCAUGUAUUUCUGAUUAAAUAGAUACUUAUAUGCCUAUAAAUGAUUUUUGGUAAAAAUAAAGAGCAAACUAUAAUGCAGCUACAGUUCAAAUUUGACCCGCUUCCAACUGAAUCGACAUAAAUUUGUCUUUUUCACGAGAGGUGGAUAAAAUCUUUUAACACCCAACCAUUUUGUCAAUUGUACAUUAAAUAUGGACUAGUAUUUUAUAAAAAUAAUUUGGUCCAAUUUUAAAACAAAUAUAUGGUAGGUCCUUCACARCARCUSAUUCUGAUCACUUGAAAAAUGGAAAAAUGAAUUUUUCAUACAAGGAAAAUGAAAACUUCCUUAAUCUACAUUGUUUGCCAUUCCGAUAUGCAUCCUUGUGCAUAAUAUUAUAUUAUUUCAACAAACUAUGUCAUGAAUGUGGCUAUAAGAUUGAUCANNNNNNNNNNNNNNNNNNNNNNNNNNNNNNNNNNNNNNNNNNNNNNNNNNNNNNNNNNNNNNNNNNNNNNNNNNNNNNNNNNNNNNNNNNNNNNNNNNNNAGAAGAUCCUGCACCUGACGCUGAUCAGCAGCAAUUAGAAGACGAUCCUGUAGCACAUGUCGUCCCAUCUCAGCAUAGAAGCAGCGUGGGUUCCACGCAGCUGCAGCUAGAAGACGGUCCUGCAGUCGAACCGUCGGCGCCUCACUACCCCGUGGAUGAUGUCACGGAGAAGACAAACUGUGAGAUACAUAUGCCAAUGGGGAACAUAUCCUUCAUGGUGGCGUCAGGCUAUGCUUUACCGAAUCAACCUGGAGCAACCUACCAUGGUGGUCAGAUUCCAGCAUCCCAUGCUCGUGUCGGGUUGUCAACAAUUACGCCGGGAUGCCAGUCAAUUGAGCUUGAUAUUCCUGGAGGUGAAGGCGAGAAGACACUGGGAGAAAUGGAGCUUGGUAUCAUCUUGUGGAAGAAGAAACACAUCAUGUUUCCUAACGCGGCGCCAAGGCCACCGACUCCUCCAGGUACAAAUGCACCACCUCCAACAAUUACUGAAUGUUGCACCACAUGUAAGCCUAUUUUUAAUAGUUUUUUCACUUUCGUACAGAGAAUGCACGACCUCCAAGUCCACCCCCCAACGCACCUCCAAGUCCACCCCACAACGAAGAUAGGGAGCCCGAGGCCGAGAGUCCAUCGCCCGUGCACUCCAGUGAGCCGACGGAUGCGCCCACUACGGGUACGGCAAAGCGGAAGCUGCAGUUCACAAGAAACGGGACUCCUCCCAAGAAGAGAGAAAGGAAACCCAAUAAAGUCAAGACUCCCCCGAAGUUACCAGGCCUGAUGACUCCGGAGGAACUAGACGAGGCCGUGAAAGCCAAAAACAAAGCAUGGUUUGCACGGUUUCCCCUGAACGCCCCCYYCAGACAUCUGGAAGGAAACUCUGAAGAACGUACCAAAGUGGAAAAUUGAGCGCACCAUCGACAACUUAUAUUAUCCUGAACCGCCGCCACCGCCGCCCUUCAGACUAUGAACGGUUCCGCAGCUGNNNNNNNNNNNNNNNNNNNNNNNNNNNNNNNNNNNNNNNNNNNNNNNNNNNNNNNNNNNNNNNNNNNNNNNNNNNNNNNNNNNNNNNNNNNNNNNNNNNNAAGUUGUGUACCAUGUGCUCGUUUCCUCCUCUAGUUUGGUGUGGCCGGCCAUCACUUYWSYUGCASAUAACCCACCACUUUUUCUUACACAUAACCCACCACUUUUUCUUACACAUAACCCACCAUUACUUCUUUCAGGAAAAGCCCACCACCACUUAAUGCCACGAUUCAGCAAAAGGAAACAAAGGCCCAAAGCCCAAGUAGCUAAAGGAAAUACCGUUUCAGCUUUCUUCUUCCUAAAGCCAUACCGCAGCUACUCUCUAGUCUCUAACUGCUCUAAUGGCAUCUUUGGCUGAUUGGGGGUUGGGUGCUCACACAUACCUGAGGUUGGGGGCCCCUCAGGUCCCGGGGGGCCCGGGGCGACCGCCCCUCCCCCCCCCCCUCAGGGCCGCGCCUGCCGACACCGUCACUCACAUUUAUUUCACCCAUAGCCGUACCUGCCAUGCCAACGUAGACUUCCUUGCGCCCACAACCAUAUUCGUCGUCGCCGCCUCCCCCGCCCCCACCCUCACUGAAUCUCGAAUAACAAAACAUUUCUCAUGAAAGAGUUUCUUGCGAAAGAGGUGAGUGAAAAGACAGUGCAACGAAAUGAGAUUACUCAAUCUUCGUCCACAACUCAAGGGGCUGAGGCCUUGGAACUAAUUAUGCAACUACCGGAAGUUCCAGCAUUUGGUGCGAAGACUUCAGGCAAGACUGCAGCUAAGCCACGCAGGACAACUAUAGUUUGUCAUACAUGCUUCACUAGUUUGAGAACGAGAUAUUUAUACAAGAGGAUGAUGAACCUACAUAUUACAAGGAAGGAAUGGUCGGCCCUAGUUCCAAUCAAUGGCUUAACGCCAUGAAAUCAAAAAUAAAAUCCAAGUAAGAAAACCAUGUUUGCAACUCGUAACAAAAAUGUACGGGCUAGUAUAUUCAAAAAUGCCAGUCAGCGCCAUGCCACACGCAACUAGUUCGACCUACUCACCACCCCUCCCGAAUCGACGGUCCCACGAAUGCAUCUCCCAUUUGUGUACCAGUCCUUCCUGAAGAUGCUUUCCCCAAUCAGCUCCGUGUCACCGAUGACACUGCGGGCGACAAGGGAGAGGCGUUGGAUGGAGCGGGCGAUGAGAUUCUACGACGACGCAUACUCAUGGAGCAUGUGCGUCAAGGAUUGGUGGGAGGUGCUGAGGUACACGGAGGAGGAGCUAGAUCCGGACUCUAGAUCCAUUUGGGAGACAUGAUCAAGUUGUUUUGUUACAGCAUCAACCAAAAUAGAAUGUUCCUUAAAUUCUUCGAUAAGAAAAUAUUUUUCUCAAAUUGCAUAGUCAUGUACUCCUUGAUACUUUUCUCAAUCUCUAACAAAAUAUUGGUAUACAGAACAUCAUAAUACCUCCCUUGAGGCAUCACGCCUACUCAAGCAAGAACACAAGCAAACAAGAUAUCCGGCAAGAAAACGGCAAACAGAAAGAAGGCAAAUAAAAGGCAUUUUUUUGAAUUGGGGAAGAGGAAAACAAUAGGCAAAUGGUCAAUAAUGUAAUUGCAAGGAGAUGAGAGUUUAUCUGUAGGAACCUGAUAGAUCUUCACUUGAUCUUCCCUGAUAACGGUGCCAGACAUCUUGACUCCUCGCGGAUUGCGUUGGUUUCUCUCCAAGCUUAAAGGAUGAUAUAGCACAACGACAACAAGUAUUUCCCUCCACACAAAUAACAAAUCCUCGCAACCCAACACGUGUAGGGGUUGUCAAUCCCUCGUGGGUAAAAUAAAACGGUAAAUGGAUAGAUUGAUAGAUGCAAAUAAAGUAAUGGUGAAUAAAACGCAGCAAGGUAUUUUUGCAUUUUUGGUAAAAUAGAGAUUGCAAAUAGAUAAUGUAAAAUAGACCCGAGGACUGUAGGUUUCACUACUGGCUUCUCUCGAGAAAAUAGCAAACGGUGGGUAGUUGGGCAAUUUAUAAAAGAGCGAAUAAAUAUGAAGAUAUCUAAAAUAAUGAUCAUGUAUAUAGGCAUCACGUCCAAGACAAUUAGGCUGACUUCUGCCUUCAUCUACUACUAUUAUUCCACACAUCGACCGCUAUCCAGCAUGCAUUGAGUGUAUUAAGUUCAAGGAGAAACGGAGUAAUGCUUUAAGAACGAUGACAUGAUGUGGACAAGAUCUAUUCAUGUAGCAAUAGACCCCCAUCAUUUUAUACUUAAUAGCAAUGAUACAUACGUAUCAUGUCUUUUUAUGUCACUGAGAUUGAGCACUCCAUGAUCGAACCCCUCACAAAGCACCUCUUUCCAUUGCAAGAUAAAAAGAUCAAUUUGGCCAAACGAAACCCAAAUAUCGCAGAAGAAAUACGAGGCUCUAAUAAUUAAGAAUGGAUAUAAUUUCAUAGAUCUAAUCACUAACUCACAGUUCAUAGGAUCCCAACAAACACACUGCAAAAUAUAGAGUUACAGCAAAUAGAUCUCCAAGAGACCAUUGUAUUGAGAAGCAAAACAAGAUCGAAAUCCAUCUAGCUACUUCCUAAGGACCGUAGGUUUGAUAUGAACUACUCACGCAUCGUCGGAGGAGCACCAAUGAGGAUGAUGAAUCUUCCGUGACUGUGUUCCUCUUCGAAACAGGCUCUAGAUUGGAUCUCGUGGCUUCUGUAACUUGCAGCGGUUGAAAUUAUUUUUUGUGUUUUCUUCUAGGGUUUCUGGAAUAUUCGGGUAUACAUAGAGCUCAGAGGCAUUGGAGGAGGUGCCCGAGGCCCCCACUACCCACGAGGGCACGCCCGGGGCCCAGGGCGCGCCCUUGUGACUAGUGGGCCGCCUGGGCCUCCCUUGGUGAGCAUCCUUGGUCCACAAGUUUUCUUCUGGUCAAAAAAACCUCCAAAUUUUUUUGUGGCAUUUGGACUUCUUCUGAUAUUGAUUUACUACGAAGGAAAAAAUAAGUAAAAAAUAACAACUGACACUAGGCACUAUGUCAAUAGGAUAGUCCCAAAAAAAGAUACAAAAUUUCUAUAAAAUGAUUAUAAAAUAUCCAGGAGCGAUAAUAUAACAUCAUGGAACAAUUAAAAAAAAUAUAUAUACGUUGGAGACAUAUCAGCUGCGCCCUGUUGGCUUGUGGCCAGCAGAUGGCCCCCUCGGGUAUAUUUUUGGCCCAAUAAUUCUAGUAUAGUGCACAAAAAUUCUCCAUGAAAUUUCAGGUCAUUUAGAGUAAACUGAUUUUUCACCUUUUUUCUUGAUUUUCAAGUUCAGAAUUCCAGUUUCCGGCAGUUUCCCUCUAGGUCGUUUACCUUGCACAUUUAGAGAGAAAAUACAAAAGAACUAUAUCAUAAUGAGGAAUAAUGGACAAGAAUAACAUAAGUAUCAAUAAGAAUUCAUGAUGCAAAAUGGACGUUUCAACUAUCCCAAGCUUAGACCUCGCUUGUCCUCAAGCGAAAGCCGAACUCGAUAAUAAUGACCACAUGAUUUGAGAGAGAGGUGACUAUAAAAAUAGAAUAUGGAAAAGAGGGCAUCAUGAAUACUGACAUAGCAACAAGGUUUUCAUCAUAUAGAUUCUUAUAAGAAAGUAACAAUCCAUCCACAAUAUUUCAAGUAUAAAUCAUAAUAAUUAUUGACAAUCAACAAAUCAGUUGGUAUACACUAGUGGGGAUAGGGCCUAUAGCUCCGGCCCGUAAGGGGCUUUAGUCCCGGUUCACCAACCGGGACUAAAGGGGCGGGACUAAAGGCCUAACCUUUAGUUCCGGCCCUGUUCCAAGCCGGGACUAAAGGUGCUCCACGUGGGCGCCUCGGAGCAUCCUCAGAGGCAGGCCCUUUAGUCUCGGUUCUUUACACGGACCGGGACUAAAGAGUUUCAGAUUUCGUUUAUUUUGGGUUUUAGGGUUUUCGGGUUAGGUGUUCGGGAGAUUAAGUGAUGCCUCGUUUGGUGUUCGGGAAUUAGUUUUCAUAUAAUUCUAAAUAGAAAUAAUUAUGCAUAUAUAUAUAUAAGAUUAACUUAUCUUACAAGCGAGCAUAUAUAUACAAUUAUAUGGAGAUCUGAAUUAUCGGGACUAGAGCCCGUCUAUUUGAUUACAUGGACCAACAUCAGUAAUGGCCCCUAGCUACACUAAAUCGUCCUUUGGCAUCUAUAGCUUCCGUCCUCAGAAAGGUCGCAAGCUCCUCUGCAACAGCAAUCGCGCGUUCCUCUGGUAGGACCUUCUCCCUCAUGGCCGUGUACUAUAUAAGAAGAGGAGAUGAAUAUGAAUAUCAAUCAUGAUAACAAAGAAUGACGGGUAAAAAUAGAGGUGUGAAUGUUCAUUGCUUACGCCGAAUCUGUGAUCCUUGUGCUCAAAGGUAAACGUGCGAAUGGUCUCGCAAACAUACUAUCCGCAUAGAUGCGUCCCCCGUGGCUGCUGGUCGCACUUUACGAGAAUAUAAUAUAUAUAAUCAAAAUAAUAAUCUAGCAUCAUAAAUGUAUUGAAAAUAGAAGUAUAUCAUACUACUACUUACCUGAGCCUCUCUAAAGGUCAGCUUCUCAGGCUCGAUACCGGGAGUCACGCACUUGAACCGCUUCCAAACCCUGCCCGACAAGGAUAAUGAUUUGCUAAGUUUUUCAUUAAUUGAUAUAUCAGAAAAUCAUCGAAAGAGACCGAUAGAGCGCAAGAAUGAUUGAAAUUACCCUUGGACCAUGUCAUGCAGGCUUUGGAACUGUUCCAAGGGUCUCGAUAAUGGGUCGAAGGCAUCAACUCUUCCCUUAUCAAUUUGAAUGUCCAACAGAAUCCAAUGAAAGCCGCACAUGUAGKAGUAGUAUAUAUAUAUAUAUAUAUAUAUAUAUAUAUAUAUAUAUAUAUAUAUAUAUAUGUGUGUGUGUGUGUGUGUGUGUGUGUGUGUGUGUUAGUAACUUAUCAAUUACAGCUGCGGAAUGGACACAACAGAGUAAAGACCCUCACCUGAAGUUGUAUGGAAACAGUAUGUGGUCACAGAAAUUUUGAUCUGUUAGAAACCUUAGAAGGUUUUCCUCCGUCUCCUUGGGUUUAUCAGUUAGCGUCGCUAUAUGUAUUUUAUCUGGGUCAAUAAACCCAAUAUUUAGGUUUUCCUCCGUCUCCAAUGAUCCUAUUUUUCCUGAUCUCAUGUACCCUUCUAUAUGUCACAUUGUCUAGUGUCAAAGGACUUUGUUGAACUUUGUACCAAAAAAGAAUUAUUCUAUCAGGAACUCGUUCCAAAACAACUUUAGUCCCGGGUCGUGGCUCCACCCGGGACUCCUAGAUUUCUGCAUAGUACUCAAAGUAGGAGUAACUUUCCAAUUUGAGCAUUCAAUAAGAAAAACCAAAUCGUAAAAUCAAGUAGUAUUCAAAUUAGCAUGCAUUCAAUUAUAAGGAAAACUACAUCAUCUCUUUUGUCCGUACAUCGUCGAAUAUUAUUACUAAUACUCCUCGAAUACUAUCAUACAUACAGCAUCCCUGAUAUAGCUAGAACCGUAGCGCCCGACGGGUAUCGUCGCGGGCGGUGGACACCCAAAGAGAAGGAACCAUCACAGGAUCAUAGCUCCAGUGAGAUCCCCGAAGAACCUGCCAGGUAUGCUCGAACCUGCCCUCCAACGCAACCAUGUAGCGACGGACGUGCUCAUCCUCCUCGCUGACACGGUGACGUACCACCUCCGCGGUGUCCGAAAGCCUCGGCACCGUCACUCGCCCAUGCGACCGCCACCAAACAAGGAGGGGGUCAACAACGGGCUGGCUCCUCACCAACCUACGCCCCCCGGAAGGUAGCACCUCCCAAUACCAGCCGGGCGGAGCCCAGUCCCGGACAGGGCCCCUGUGAUCAAGCAGGUGUCCUCCGCCGGGUCGACGACGAGGAUGCGGGAUAGGAAUCGUAAAAUGAACUAAAAAAUAACUAGUUCUAUUAAUUUCUUGCUAAAAAUAAACUAUUAACACUUAAGCAUAUACAAUAGCAAAAUUAAACUAUUAACACUUAAGCAUAUACAAUAGAAAAAUUAAGCAAUAAUCUAAGAAACACUAAUUAAGCAUCUAUAUACGUAGAAAUGUCUUCUUCUUCUUCUUCUUCUUCUUCUUCUUCUUCUUUCKYAKYUKCUUCUCCGCUUCUCGCAGCNNNNNNNNNNNNNNNNNNNNNNNNNNNNNNNNNNNNNNNNNNNNNNNNNNNNNNNNNNNNNNNNNNNNNNNNNNNNNNNNNNNNNNNNNNNNNNNNNNNNCAGAGAAGAAGAAGAAGAAGGGCUUCAUAUCAGAUGAAGCUCUAGUGCUAUCUCCAGCAAAUACAAGACUGCUAUGUCGACAUUUUUAUUACUCAAGUUGUGUUUGUUCUAAUUUACUAGCAAAAGAGCCCGUGCGUUGCAACGGGAGCAAACCAUACAACACGUCCUAACCUAAUAAUACAUGACUCGAGAUCUUUAUUUAAACUUACACAUCUACGUUGUCUCUUUUCUGUGAAUACAUCUAUGCUCUCUCUCUAACUCUCUCUCUCUCUCCCCCUAAGAUGAACAACAAUUUUUCUGUUUUCAUGUAAUGUUUUGCCGAUUAUUGAUAGUUUUUUUUGACUUCAAUCUCAUUUUGAUGAGGUUUUCAUUUGCAACACGGAUCGGCCUCAGCACGAAAAAUAGAUUGUGCGCUAUUGAUUAAAAUUACAGCAUAAAUAGAAUUUUAAAAUUAUUAAAUAAGUAAAAUAACAUCAUAUUUAGACUCUGGGCAUACUAUUGAUGAAAAUUACAUUAUAAACAGAAUUUUAAAAAGUUAAAUAGAUAAACUAACAAUAUAUUCAGAUUCUUACUCUGCGCAUACUAUUUUAAUAAAAUUUCAUAAAUAAUGAUUUAAAAUUGGAGUUACCGUUUAAAAAGAUAUGAUUUUUCAAAGUAUUUGUCACUUAUAAUUGAACUGCAUAUUAAUUAAUAUAGAACUGAAGGACGUUUCUAUAAAAAAUUACAGAAAACGGUCCGUUCUCUUGAAGUAUGUACCGCGGGUUGAUUUCAGGAAACCACAGGGGAUUUCCUGUAACAAUACAAAAAACGAUUCUUUUUUCAUUUAAAUCCGGACUGUGGGUUAAUUUCGGGAAAGUCCAGGGGGUUUUCUGCAAAAUGACACGACGUACGGCAGAAGCACUCCGUGCUUUAUUAUUAGGAAAAGAUAUCAAAUGUGGUCCGUGUGGAAGAUGAUCCUGAGAUCAUCCCUGAGUUUUCUAACAUCUAAUCUAAUGUAUAUUUCACUGAUAUGCGCAAGUGUGUAUAUAUAUUUGACCGCUCUGCGGCUAUAUUCAAGUCUUGGCUCCAUCACUGGCUAUGAUAAAGGCAUUAGUGUUGCGGGAGCGACGAGCCGGCGGCACUGCUGCAAAGCAUUCACAAUAUGGAUGGGGUGGCGUAGCUGCAAAGUACUCCCUCCGUUCCUAAAUAUAAGUCUUUCUAUAGGUUUCACUAGUGAACUACAUACGAUAUAGACAUAAUUUAAAGUAUAGAUUUAUUUAUUUUACUCUGUAUGUAGAUCUUUAAUAAAAUAUCUUAAAAGACUUAUAUUUAGUACCGGAGGGAGUACCAUAGAGACACCAGCUGCAAGGACAAUGGUCGGCGUCACUCUGACUUUUUUUAGCACCAGUGAUGCUGCAUGGUGAGAGACGCUAGAGAUAGCGUCAGCGUCGUGUCUCGUCGGACCGGCGUUGGUGUCGCGGUGGAGACGUUCGUGCUGCAACCUCAUUUUCCGUAGAAGAUCGUGUGAGCUGGAGAAGGUCAUACGUGGAAAAGAAAGGAAGAGAAAGUAGUGUCUAGAUCCUAAGAAACGAAAGGAAGACUCACUACCCCGCAAAAAAAGAAAAAAAAAAAARAARACGUACUAMCUACGUARUUKMGUWSRRUCGUAAUGUCACACKYRWCUKAAGUUCGUAYSRACCGACCGGUCCGUUCGUAAGUAACGUUACGUUAGGUCGUAACUUAACUACGACCNNNNNNNNNNNNNNNNNNNNNNNNNNNNNNNNNNNNNNNNNNNNNNNNNNNNNNNNNNNNNNNNNNNNNNNNNNNNNNNNNNNNNNNNNNNNNNNNNNNNACACACAUGAUAUCAAGAGUUUGUCGCCACACCGAGGCAUUAGAAUACAGAAGAUCAUCUAAAUUACAUUUAUCCAUUUGCACGCAAAUUACACAGAAACAUGGUGACGGAGCACACACUAAAUUUUAUGUAUGAAGAAACUGAAUAGGUGAAAAAACUUUUUCAUAUAUACGAAACUUAUAGAAGCAAAAUAACAAUUAGAAUCACACAUAUGAAUAUUAACACCAAAGUAGAACAGUCAACUCUCAAUUCAUAAUACGGAAUGACCAUAGUGCACAUCCAUGGCGUCAGUCUGUCGUCAUCGUGCGUGCCGCUCUUGGUCUCCGCUACAAUACUUUUGUUUAUGGACACCGCACAUAUACUAAAUUUGAUAUGUUUAUUUUUCUUAUCGAGAUACAGUAUUAGUUUGCUACGCUUGCAAAAUAAAAAAUAGAUUUAUUUUAACAAAAAAAAGAAAGUAAUAUUAGUUUGUCAGGGUUGUAAUGUCAGACAACACGCAAGCAUGUCAAUUGGUCACCAAUCUUCUUCUUUUAAUUUAUAAGUUGUGUACCAUGUGCUCGUUUCCUCCUCUAGUUUGGUGUGGCCGGCCAUCACUUUUUCUUGCACAUAACCCACCACUUUUUCUUACACAUAACCCACCACUUUUUCUUACACAUAACCCACCAUUACUUCUUUCAGGAAAAGCNNNNNNNNNNNNNNNNNNNNNNNNNNNNNNNNNNNNNNNNNNNNNNNNNNNNNNNNNNNNNNNNNNNNNNNNNNNNNNNNNNNNNNNNNNNNNNNNNNNNCAUGAAAGAGUUUCUUGCGAAAGAGGUGAGUGAAAAGACAGUGCAACGAAAUGAGAUUACUCAAUCUUCGUCCACAACUCAAGGGGCUGAGGCCUUGGAACUAAUUAUGCAACUACCGGAAGUUCCAGCAUUUGGUGCGAAGACUUCAGGCAAGACUGCAGCUAAGCCACGCAGGACAACUAUAGUUUGUCAUACAUGCUUCACUAGUUUGAGAACGAGAUAUUUAUACAAGAGGAUGAUGAACCUACAUAUUACAAGGAAGGAAUGGUGGGCCCUAGUUCCAAUCAAUGGCUUAACGCCAUGAAAUCAAAAAAUAAAAUCCAAGUAAGAAAACCAUGUUUGCAACUCGUAAACAAAAAUUACUGUUUAUGACAUUAAACUCGUAGUAUAUAUUAAAUGUUUUUUAAAAAUACUCAUAUACUUUUAAACCGUAACUCCAAAUUUAACAUAUUAUAUAUUGAAUUUGAUUAGAAAAAUAUGUAGAAUUUAAAUAUGAUAUCGCAGCUGNNNNNNNNNNNNNNNNNNNNNNNNNNNNNNNNNNNNNNNNNNNNNNNNNNNNNNNNNNNNNNNNNNNNNNNNNNNNNNNNNNNNNNNNNNNNNNNNNNNNAUCUUAAAAGACUUACUAUUUAGUACCGGAGGGAGUAACCAUAGAGACGACCAGGCUGCAAGGACAAUGGUCGGCGUCACUCUGACUUUUUUUAGCACCAGUGAUGCUGCAUGGUGAGAGACGCUAGAGAUAGCGUCAGCGUCGUGUCUCGUCGGACCGGCGUUGGUGUCGCGGUGGAGACGUUCGUGCUGCAACCUCAUUUUCCGUAGAAGAUCGUGUGAGCUGGAGAAGGUCAUACGUGGAAAAGAAAGGAAGAGAAAGUAGUGUCUAGAUCCUAAGAAACGAAAGGAAGACUCACUACCCCGCAAAAAAAGAAAAAAAAAAAAAAARACUCACUGUAUUGCGUGAAUCUAAUGUCACACGCGUCUGAAUCGUAUGGCUAAUCAGCCAGAAGAUAUCAUCCGGUUGAUCCGUAGUAUGGGCCUUUAUUAUGUACCUUCGUUGUCAGAUUGCCUGAUACUCCAUAAUUCCUUAAAUAGCAACAUGUUGUCUGGGGCAGCCAUGUCCGGCCGGUUUAUACGGCGUAUCUAUGGGCUAUACACGCUAAUGUAUCUGGUUUGUUUGACUUUUUUGUAAUGUCAUGUACUUCCUUUAUAAAUUAAUAUAAGAGUGUUUAAAUAACUAAAAUAAUGACAAACGUUUUUAUAUUAGUUUACGAAGGGAGUAGAAUUUAUUAUUUUUGAUUGAUUGUAAGUUUUUUUUGAUAGCUUACCAAGCUAGCUGCUUGCUACGUAAAAUUUAUUAUCAUCAGAUUAAAUAGUGCCAUCUAGUGUAUAAAAAUCAUCAGAUCACCUGACGUGUAUAGAGGAGGUCAUGCGACAAAAUAAGUUUUUUAAAAGGUCAAUGGACAACAUAAGAACCCUCACACGAAAAUUGCUUUUGGAGCUCGGUCUCUUUGGUGACCUUUAAAUUUGAAAUCUAAAAUUCAUAUUUUUACAUUUUUCAAAUUGUUUUAGAAAAAGAUACAGAGAUGAGUCAGGACGUAACACAUGUGUGCAUAAAUUCUACAAAAAAAUNNNNNNNNNNNNNNNNNNNNNNNNNNNNNNNNNNNNNNNNNNNNNNNNNNNNNNNNNNNNNNNNNNNNNNNNNNNNNNNNNNNNNNNNNNNNNNNNNNNNAGAACCAGCCGCCGCCGAGCACCUACGUCGCCGUCGCGUCGCUACUGUGGACGUCCAUGGCCCGCGCCAAGCAUCCGGACCCGCAGCCAACGCCAGCGAUCCCAGCGACGACGACGCAUACCUCCUGUUCCCCGCGGACUGCCGCCGCCGCAUGCGCCCGCCUAUGGACCCGGGCUUCUUCGGUAACUGCGUCAAGCUCUGCUUCGCGCGUGGCACGGCGAGCACUCCAGAGUGCGUGAACUUGCAUGCCAGUCGCAUGGUCACCGCCUAACCGUUGCAUUGCCACGCGUUCUAGGUGGAAUAGUCAUGUAUGGUGGGUUGGACAAUCCCUCGAUAGGGGUUAGCAAGAAUAAUACAAUAGAAUAAUCUCAUGAGGAGACUGAACUAAGCACAAACAUGGAUUAGCAGCCAAGUGUUUGAUUAGCGGUGCGGGUAAUUCACAUAGACAAUGGGCCUAAAUUUUGGCUGAUGAUGAUCAUCUACUAAGAAGACUCUCUUGGCAAAUUUUUUAUCUCAAAUGGAUGAAUCUAGGUGGCACUUGCUUUGCAAAGUAACACAUUGUGCAGAAAUAUGGAUGUUGAAGCUAGGAUCAAAUGAAUGAAUGGAUUGACCUAUUGCAUACAUGAUAGAACCUAUGGCUGAAGCAUAGGGGACAUAACUCAUUUGUCUCUAUCUUCUGCAGUUGCUGGACACCGAGUCUUACUCAAUUUUAUACCUUGUNNNNNNNNNNNNNNNNNNNNNNNNNNNNNNNNNNNNNNNNNNNNNNNNNNNNNNNNNNNNNNNNNNNNNNNNNNNNNNNNNNNNNNNNNNNNNNNNNNNNAGUGAAUAUUCUAGGAUGUAUGGGAAGUCAAAAGAUACACCGGAAGCACGGAAGGACUAGGAACGUCAUAAAGGAAGAGAUGGCAUGAAUCCAGGGCAGUUUCAAGGGCGUGCCAGCUACGCUCUUACUAAGGAAGAGAAGGAAAUCUUCUUUGAAGUCCUUUUCAGUAUCAAUGUCACGACUGGCUUCUCGUCGAAUAUAAAGGGAAUCGUAAAUAUGAAAGGAAAAAAUUCCAAAAACCUAAAGUCUCAUGACUGCCACGUGCUUAUGACGCAAUUGCUUCCGGUUGCAUUGAGGGGAAUUCUACCGAAAAAUGUUCGCCUAGGCACAUCGACACUCGCUUCCCAUUUCAUUCGUCAGUUCAUCGAGGAAGGCAAGGUCGACGUCUUCUUCGUCAACACCGGUAGGCAACGAGCCGACCUGCUCACCAAGGCUCUUGGCCGCGUCAAGUUCGUCGAGAUGAGGCAGAUGCUGGGUGUGCAGGAAAUAACAUCUGGGCAUUAGGGGGUGAAGUGUGGGAGAAUCCUUCUGCUCUGAACCUGGCGUCGCAACUCGUCAGUGUUAGUGUUAGUUUCAGUUUCGUCAGAGAUAAGUUAGGCGCGCAUAAGGAGCCUGUUCCCGCGCGCGCUCGUAGUAUAGGCUAGAUUUGCUUUAGUAGUUGCCAUCAGCACUCGUCGCUCAGUUGCAUGGCACCGGGAAUUAAUCAAGGCGGUGGUAAUGAAUGGUUUGAUACAUAAAUGCCCUGAUGGCCAAUUCCCUAACCUUGACAUUUUAGAAGAGGUACUAGCCCUGAUGGUUACAUGCGUUGACUUACUCUUACGUAUGAAUUGGCCAUGUUAAGNNNNNNNNNNNNNNNNNNNNNNNNNNNNNNNNNNNNNNNNNNNNNNNNNNNNNNNNNNNNNNNNNNNNNNNNNNNNNNNNNNNNNNNNNNNNNNNNNNNNCCUUCUUCUUCUUCUUCUCUGGUUUUCUCCUGCUGCUUGUGAAAGGAGAUGGASGAGCCCUUUCCGUGACUGGCUGUGCUGUGUAGAAUUGGAUUGCAGGGAAGUGGUUCCCUCACACUCCCGAUGGGAGUUAUCCCCUUUUAUAUGCUUAUGCACAAUGCCAUGGGGGGACUCACCUGUCAGCUGUAUGUGUGUGGCCCCAAUCAAGGCGCUCUUAAGUCAAGCUGGUUUUGCCAACUUGCUGCUGCUGCAGCUGGCCUUAUCAGUUUGGCCUAGUAGAUCAACCAACAUUCUCCCCCUUAUCAUACGACAAAACUUAUAAACCCAUUCCUUAAUAAAAAUGGCAUAUGAGAUAAAAGGAUUGCAACGGUCAGUCAGUACCGCAGAACCCAGUUACUACAAUAUACCACCUUAUCUCAAAAUGGAACUUCUUUAACUUAGAAGCCCCAUGAACUUAACACUUAUUUGAAAAAAACUCAUGAGCUCAUUCCUUUGUUGGAACUUAUACAGAGCCAAUAAGGUACCAAUGGUCAGUUAAGUACCAUUGAUCUAAUUGACCAUAGUACAUCAUUCCAUCGAAGAAACAAACUCCCUUAGGUUUGUGGGGAGAUGGUGUUGCAAUGGUCCCAAGAGUGCAGUUUCUCUUCAUAUAUUCUUGUGCAUAUCCUUAUAAGCGUGCUUUGGAAAGAAGUGAAACAUGUUUUGUUUCCAUAAUCAUAAUUUGUCCCUUAAUAAUAGGCUGCCAUUUAAUCUUAUGCCAGCAACAUUAGAAGGCAAGCCUCUUCAAAUAUUUUUCUUAGCUUUAAAUACCUUUUAGCAUAAUGUGCAUGAACUAAUCAUCAAGGCAUUAACNNNNNNNNNNNNNNNNNNNNNNNNNNNNNNNNNNNNNNNNNNNNNNNNNNNNNNNNNNNNNNNNNNNNNNNNNNNNNNNNNNNNNNNNNNNNNNNNNNNNUCUUCUUCUUCUUCUUUCUUAUUUUCUUCUCCGCUUCUUCUUCAACUUCUCUUCUUCUACUUCUCCUCUUCUUCUAUUUUUCCUCUUCUUCUCCUCUCCUCCUCUUCUUAUUCUCCUUUUUCUUCUUUUCUUCUCCUGCUCUUCUUAUUUUCCUUUUUCCUAAUCUUAUUUUCUUAUUUUUGUUCAUAUUUCUUCUUCUUGUAACCCUAACCUAAUUCUAAAUAUUACUAACCCUAAUAAUCUAGCACAAACCUAAUAACAAUAGGAAUUAAAUGACAAAAAAAAUCUUUUUCUUUUUCUUCUUCUCUUCCCUUUUUCUUCUUUUCUUCUCCUUUUUCUUCCUUUCUUCUCCUUUUUAUUCCUUUCUUCUCCUUUUUAUUCCUUUCUUCUCCUUUUUCUUCCUUUCUUCCCUUUUCUUCUUUUCUUCCCUUUUCUUCUUUCUUCUUCCUUUUCUUCUUUCUUCUYCYUUUUCUUCUUUUUCUUCCCUUUUUUCUUCUUUUUCUUCUUUUCUUCACCUUUUUUCNNNNNNNNNNNNNNNNNNNNNNNNNNNNNNNNNNNNNNNNNNNNNNNNNNNNNNNNNNNNNNNNNNNNNNNNNNNNNNNNNNNNNNNNNNNNNNNNNNNNUGCUUCCCGCCUUUUGGUCUGCCGAAAAUGGGCCUUUAGUCCCGGGUCGUGGCUCCACCCGGGACUAAAGGGAGUCUUUAGUCCCGGAUCGAGCCCCGAACCGGGACUAAAGAUCGCASCURUAUAAGCGGGAGUUAGAAAAUUUCCAGCCCAAAUCGCAUUUCCUUCUCUCCUUCUUCCUCGUUCUCCUGCCCGACGCGGCACAGCGACGAUAUCGACAACGCCGUCAGGCUGUCCGCCGUCCUGCUCACCGCCGCCUGCCGUCCUCCUCGCCGUCGUCGUUGUCCUCCUCGCCGCCACCGUUCUCCUCGCCGCCGCCGUCCUCCUCGCCGUCGUCGACGCCUUCCUCGCCGUUGUCGAUGCCUCCGGCCGGUAAGCCCCCCGCCCCUCCUCCCAACACUCCGGCCGGUAGAAGGAAAGAAGAAAAAGAAGANAAGAAAGAAAGAAAUAGAGAAGAGAAGAAGAAGAAGAAGAAGAAGAAGAAGAAGAAGAAGAAGAAGAAGAAGAAGAAGAAGAAGAAGAAGAAGAAGAAGAAGAAGAAGAAGAAGAAGAAGAAGAAGAAGAAGAAGAAGAAGAAGAAGAAGAAGAAGAAGAAGAAGAAGAAGAAGAAGAAGAAGAAGAAGAAGAAGUAAGAAGAAGAAGAAGAAGAAGAAGAAGAAGAAGAAGAAGAAGAAGAAGAANNNNNNNNNNNNNNNNNNNNNNNNNNNNNNNNNNNNNNNNNNNNNNNNNNNNNNNNNNNNNNNNNNNNNNNNNNNNNNNNNNNNNNNNNNNNNNNNNNNNCAUGGCCUUCUCGAACCUGUCCUCCCACCAUCCGGGGAUGUUGGCGUUGUCCACCACCAUCCUCGCCGUCUCCUCGGAGGUCAGGAGCGCCGCGUCGGAGGUGAAGAGCACCGUGUGCGACAGCACGUUCUURU
rnacentral:lncRNA from 1 species